UUUUCUUUUUAUAAAUCGUUUUUGUUUUUUCUAUUUAAAUUCCUGAAUUUAUCUGCUUUUACAUUUUGAACUUCCUGGUUGUCCUUUUUAGAAACAGAAAAAAAAUCAUUUUUAUUGGUAUUUUCGUGUUUUUAUGUUUUGUUCAGGUUACCAUUCUCUCAGUUCAAAAACUAUACGAUUUGCUUCGAUAACAGUAAGUGAACUUUGUGGACAUUAUUUAUAAAACAUACUCUUUUUCUAGUAUGUGAAUUUUCCUAUAGAUGUACAAGAACCUUUUGUUUGUUUGCACCUCAACAACCAACAUGGAACAGUACGAUUGGAAAAUCAUAGAAAGCUAUACCAGAUGAAUCAUUGAAAAUAUUGACCAAAUCACACAACAAAAUGGCCAGGUCGAGGGCAGUUCUUUCACAGGCAUUUGAAGGAAACAAGUAGGGUAUGGAAGAAACAAAAUUUGAAGGGAGGUUGAGAUCCCUCCUCAAUGCACAAUGCACAACUCCUGUGCAGGGGAUCCAUUUUUGCCAGCGACUUGAGCAAAUCAUUGUAUCUUAAUUCUACAGUCGAAGAGCCAGACUCAGCAUGCCUUCUUUUGCAAAACGAAAAUCUGAGCACAUAUAUAAGAAGAAAAUAGUUAUACAAACUAGCACGAACAAAAAGUGUGUCAGGGCAUAUUUUUUCUGAACUUCAUAGGAAAAAACUCUCUGUAUUUUUUCAACCCUUGCUCUAUGUGAACUUCAAUUCCCAGACAAGCAGAACUUGGUCGAUCGAACCAAUGGAUCGACAGGACAAGGAGGACCUUGCGGACGGCAACGCGCUCUGGGCGGUCCCUCCGGAUUUUGUUUUUUUUCGCACGCGUUUUCGGCUUUUUGAACGGGUUUUUUCUGGGUUUUUUCGACGUUUUGGUUUUCCACCGGUCUUCCUUAGCUUUUCAAUAAAAAAAAUUGAAAAAAAAAUUGCGCGAAAAAACGCGUUUUUUUCUUUCGCGAGAGUCACGGUUUUGCUUUCGCGAGAGUCACGGCCGUGCCUCUCGGAAACGAAAAAAACGCGUUUUCUGUUUUUUUGCGUUCGCGAGAGUCACGGUUUUGCUUCCGCGAGAGGCACGGGUGUGCUUUCGCGAGAGUCACGGCCGUGCCUCUCGGAAACGAAAAAAACGCGUUUUCUGUUUUUUUUUCUUUCGCGAGAGUCACGGUUUUGCUUCCGCGAGAGUCACAGCCGUACCUCUCGGAAACGGAAAAAAUGUUUUUUCUGUUUUUUUCCCUUUCGCUAGAGUCAUGUUUUGCUUUCGCAAGAGGCACGGUUGUACUUUCACGAGAGUCACGGCCGUGCCUCCUCGGAAACGGAAAAAACAUGUUUUCUCUUGUUUUUUUCCGCGAGAGGCACGGUUUUGCUUCCGCGAGAGGCAUGGUUGUGAUUUCAUGAGAGGCACGGGAGUGCCUCUUUCGGAAAGGAAAAAAACCCGUGCUCCCGGUUCAGUUUUUUCAUCCGGUUUUUUUCAUAAAAAAAAGUUCGUCAAAACCUAUCAACAUGAGAUCUAGUUUUGAAGAUCUCGAUAAUCCAAAGGUGAAAGUGGUUCGAGAUUUGGACGCACGGUUUAAGAGAUAAAACGUUUUGAAUAAACGGAUCUAUGAAAAAAGGGAAAACUCCUAGGUUGCAACACUUGUCGCAACCAGGAGAAUUGGAGUGAUCUUUGCAACGAGUACUCCUCAAUUAGUGAUUUCGGGGAACAAAGCGCAGAGAGCGAUCAUGAAUAAAAAAAUGGACCAGCCCAAUAACUAUGAUGCAGAGGAAAGAGCUUCAGCGAGACGGAAGGAAGUCCCGCAUGAAGCGAGAUAUAGUUGUCGCGCCCUCUUCGGGACAACACACAUUUGUCCAUAGGUACUAACCUUUUAGAGGCCCUUGUGUGAACUCUUGAACUCCAUCACCAUCCACGGGCCCUCGCCUCAGCACGACUGGUCACGCUUGCCAGGGCUAUAUAUAUGUUGCAGGCACUAAUUCCUAAUAGGAAUUGCCUAUUAGCGACAGUAGCAGGCCGGCUCAUUUCUGUGCGUGUAUCUUCGCAUGGCAUGUUAGCGGAUGAUGUUGUAGGUUCGGUUUACUAUUGUUUUUUGUUAUUUAUUUUAUUUUAUUUGUAUUUCCACUCUUUUCUUUGGUUUUCAUUUUUCUCUUCAUUUUGCUUUGGUGUUCUUUGUUUUAUCAUUGGUUUUUAAUUUUUCUUUCUUUGUUAUAAUUCACUUUUUGUUUGUUUCUUUCUUGUUUUCGCCGUUUUCUUUGGUUUCUUUACUUUUCUAUUGUUUAUUUGUCGGUUUUAUUGGAUUUCUCAUCAGUUAUCAUUUUUUCCUUUUUUCCGACACAUGUCUACAUUUUUCAUACGUAUUGUACAUUUUUAUUAUACAUUAGGAACAAUUUUACACCUGUUUAACCUUUCUCAAAAACAAGAUUACCAUUUUUAUUAAUAUAUGUUUUGAUGUCUACCUUUUUUCAUACAUGUUGUAUAUUUUUCGUGUACAUAUAUAAAAAUUUAUAAACUAUUUCAUAUUUUUAAAAUAUAUUUUUACAAAUAUAUGCUUUGAAUAUAUUUUUUCAAACACAUGUUAAAUAUAUUUUUAAUACACAGUGGAAUUUUUUAAUGAUAGAAACAUUUUAUGUAAACUAUGCAAACUUUUCUUUACAUUGUACAUUUUUUUAAAUGUCCCGAACACAGUUUUUGAAACUUGUGAACAAUUUCUUUUAUUGUAACAUACAUUUUUUCCAAAUAAAACGAACAUUUUGUUUAAAAUGUAUAAGGACAACUCUAUCCUUCAGCCGGCUGAUGCACGCACAACAUCCAUCGCCCGCAUAGCUGUCGGAUUGAUUUUGAUUGAGUGCUUGCGCUGGCCACAAGUCUCGUGCAACUAGUUUUUUUUUGCAACAAGCGUCCUGUUUCAGAAGCAGUUUGCAACACAAAUCUUGUUUCAGAAAGAAAGAAAAGGGUAAGCGAUUCCCAAAGAAAAGGUUUUCAUGGUGAAGUUUAUCUUUUGGCAACAUGGUCUACUUUCAGAUAGAAAGAAGAAAAAUGGUUCGACGAUGCAUAUUUUCUCUUCUGCAAUAGGGCUAUUGUUUCAUAAACAUAGCCCCGGUUGCAGAAAGCGCCGAAUGAGUGCCCCGCGUUAGAGCGUAUGAGGCCAAGCAUUGCAACAUGACGCAUGUUUCAGAAACAUGGCUUCGGUUGCAGAAAUCGGCAGAGGAGUGCCCGGCGUGAGAGUUCGUCGUCGUCGUUAGAGGCAGCUGCUCGGGGUGCUGGGUCGGAGGAGGUGAGACAACUCUGGCGGCCGCGACGCUCCAUGGCCGAGGCACUCAGGCCAUGGCGGGGCAAUGGUGCUGUUUCGGUCGACGUUUGCACCAUGACCGCAACAAGCUAGCUGUUGCAAAGGUCCGCCCCAGUUUGCUGGGACGGUAGAUCGGACGGCUGUUUCGGGCGGCAUCCAACGGUUGCCGAAGUAGUUGAUCUUAUCGGUUUAUCACCCGGCGAAUCGCUUACCAUCAACCGGCCGAAAAGAGACAUCACGUCCGUUGCCUUAGCUGUGAACCACGUGUCCAUGUGGACCACGCACACAUCUCCACCCUCCUUCGUUUCUGUAACAAGGCCCACUACAUCGUCUUCUCCCCAUAACUCUAAUCCUCUUUCUCUCUCAUCUCCUGCUACCAAUUGGAUGGGCAGCUGACCACCGCCGCUCACAUCGGGCAGCUGACCACCCAGCCACUCACAUCUCCUACCCCCCAUCUAGAUGGGAUCACCAAGCCACAACCCAACGUUGGCGACAGUGCUUGAGAUCCGCGCAGCUAGGUUGUCGCUCCAGAGGCACGCGGCGCAGCGCACGGCCUCACAAUUGGUGUUGUCGGUGUUGGGGGAGCCCUCCCUACUAGAUCCAUCAUCGAUGUUUCUGAAACAAACGUCUUGUUGCAAUAGUCAAUAAUUUUUUUGAAACAAAGCUCUUGUUGCAAAGAGAGAUCAUACACGAAGAUGCUUUGCAACGUCACCAAUGUUUCUGAAAUAGAGCUCUUGUUGCUAUAGUUGGUCGUUUCUGAAACAAAGCUCUUGUUGCAAAGAGAGAUCAUACACGGAGAUGCUUUGCAACGUCACCAAUGUUUCUGAAACAAAGCUCUUGUUGCAAUAAUUGGUCGUUUCUGAAACAAAGCUCUUGUUACGAUAGUCAGAUGGGUUUCCGAAACAAAGCUCUUAUUGCAAUAGUCACUGUUAUUUCUGAAACAAUAUGUUUGUUGCAAAGAGGGAUACUAUGCUGAGCAACUUAGAUUGGAUGGCUCGCGAGGCGGCGGAUCUUUUAAAAAGAUCCGCCGACCGACGCGUAGCAUGAAAUAGGUAGAAAAAGUAACAGGACGCCAGUAGGCAAGCCGCGGCUACUGGGCCGGGCCAAUACGUGUUGCCCUGCAAGCGAGCCGUGGUAGGGCUCACCACGGGAGGCACAUAGCCGCUCCUAGCCAGACCUGCCGUCUACACUUAACGUUGCACUUAUCAAAGCUCAAUCGCUAUUGCAAACGGCUUAAUUGUGUCGAUUAAUUGUUUCAACGUCACCACUUGGGAUCCUAAUCUUUUGGGACUUGUGUCGAUUAAUUGGAAAAGAAUUGAAAAAAGAAGAUGAACUAGAACAAGAGGAGAUGUCGGCGACGUGCUUUCCAUAGAGAAUAUGAUGCAAAUGGUGUCUUGGCUAGUCUUCUAGAGUGAUAUGCAUAGGGUAUAGGCUCCUGCUUGUGCUGGGCCCUAGGCAGCCGCACUCCCUAGCCAUGCUCUAAGGUCAGCCCUGUUUGUCCAUGGACAAAACCCAUGCCGCUAACUGGCAGCUGCACUCCCUAACCUACGCAUGCACAAAAAAAAACCUAUGCCAAGAGUGAUUCUCAAAAAAAAAAAAACUAUGCCAAGAAUACUUGAGUGCGUCGACACCCUUUGUUCUUCAUCAGGCGUUGAUAUGUCUCACCUAAAGCAAGACGAGAGGAAGUCUCGCUAAAGGCGAGCUCCAUAUUGGGUCGGCCCAUCGCGCAGCUUACCACUGGCCACAUGCCAUAUUCUUUUUUUAAGGGGAAAAGAGAGCUCUUUCAUUCAUUCAUAGCAAGUUUACCGUCAUUCUCAAUUACAUGAAAGACAUUCGGUGGCACAUUCUGCAGUAUAUAAAAAUCUCCAUGAGCUCUAGCAUUAGCUGCUAUCUCAUGUGCCGAUACGUUGCACUCUCUUUCAAUUUUACUCACCAUGCACAAACUGAACUCCCGCAUUACAGUCUUUGCUUCUUCAUAAGUAGCCCACCACUUAGUGUUGUUUCUUUCUUUUGCAUUCACAGCCGCAACGACGGCAGCACAGUCUGAUUCCACCUGUACCUGAACCUUGUUUAUGUCUCGCAAACACUUGAGGCCCAGCAGCAGAGCGUUUGCUUCAGCUUCCUCUACAUGAAUACACAUAUGCAAGUGGCGGCCUACAGAGAAAAAACUGAACCGGUGCUAUCUCUGGUGACUGCCCCUGCCCACGCUGAUCCCAAAGCAGAUACAAAGGAGGCAUCAACAUUUAGCUUAACACACUCGCCUUGGGGUCUGUACCAGGCCACAUGCCAUAUUCUCGUUGUUUUUUUUAGGUUUUUUUGUUUUGUUUUACUUUCUUUAUAUUUCCAGAUAUUUUAUAUUACAAAAUACUUUACAUAAAACAUUUCAAAAAAUGUGAAUCAUGCAUUUGGAAAAUGUUUAAUGUGUAUAAAAAAAUAUUGGCCAUGUAUUAAAAAAGAUGAAUUUUUUAUCAUGCAUAUAAAUUUUUUAAUCAACCAUUUGAAAAAAUAUUGAACAAGUAUUUGAAAAAUGAUAAGUGUGUAUAGAAAGAAAUUUCACCAUGUAUAAAAAAUGAUGAAUUUUUUUAUCAUGUUGAGCAAGUAUUUGAAAAAUGUUAAAUGUUUAUAGAAAAAAAAUAUUGACCAAGUAUUAAAAAAAUGAUGAAAUAAUUGGAUCAUGUAUAUAAAAAUGUUAAUCAAGUAUUUAAAAAAUGAUGAGUAAGUACUUGAAAAAUGUCGAUCAAACAUUUGAAAAAUGUUAAACGUGUACAGAAAAAAUGUUGACCACAUAUUUAAAAAAUGUUGAAGAAUUUUAGCUGCCGAGGUCCUCCCUUGCGCUUGUUCAUUGAUUCUUGUUCGGAGCGGACGUCACCUCCGAAUUGCCACCUCUCGCCUACUAUGCCAUGAACUCUGUUGGUCGCCCGAAGAUUUCUCCCCAAAUCACGCUUUCCUCUGUUCAUCCGCGCUCUUAAACCAUUUUUUGAACAGAAGAUUUCCAUCAUCAUCUCUAGCACCCGAUGUUGGACAUACUAAAUCUGAAUGUCCCAAACGACCACAUGGAAAACAGAAGUGGGGAAGUUACUCAUAUUGUAUAUCAUACCAAUCCUUGUCGUUUCUCAGUGUCAAAUAAAAAAUAAUACAUAUCCUCAAGGGUUUUUACACAUCAAUUGUGACUCUAACCACCCACCAGAUGAAUUGGCACAACUUUUGCUUCCUUAUCAAUUUGCUAGGCGAUCGAAAGACCCCAACUGCCGUUCCUCAGAUUAUAAGGAAGAAUAAUCACUCUUGCCCAAAUCUGAAGUUUAUCAAAUUUGAGUUAUGAUGGGCGCAUGCAUUCUUCAAAUUUCUCCAGGAUCACCGCGUGCUUGCUCACGUGCCAUGACGAUCCUUCCCAAACCGUGUCCAUGUCACAUAGGGUUUCGAAUUCAGCGACAGGCAUGUUCUCUCCUAGCAAGCGAAAAACAAGACCUCUAGGGUUUCCCCAAGACGGGCGGAGGGCACGAAGAUCGUCUAUAUACGGGACAAAUUACGGUACAAAAUCUUCCCUUCCACCAGCCAAUUACGUUUUGCCCCGAUCCGUACACCGUCCAUCAAUAAGAGAGUUGCCUUCUCCUCUGUAACGUCCAAUUUCCCCAUCGCCUCCACCAUCUUCCCUAUCACCGAGCUGGGCGAGCCAGCCUUCUUCGUGCCAAUGCGGGAGGAGGGCCGAUCCAUGCCUUGCCCUUCGAUCUAGCGCUCCCCUGUCGAGAUCAGCGAGCGCCGAUGAGUCCCCUCGAUUCUCUAACAUUCGGAGGAAAGUCGGGUAAGCUGACUUUCCUCCACUCUUAGCCUAUGAACAAUGCUCAUUUCAACUUUGAAAAGACCAAUUUCAAUUCAUGAGAUACCAAUUUCAAUUUUAGAAGACUCAUUUUAAUUCAUUAAAAAAAACUCAUUUCACCUUUUUCAAAAUAACUCAAUUUCAAUUCAUAAGCUCCCUGACUUCCCUUCACUUUUUUACACAAGAAGAACACCGUAGCAUGUUAGAGGAUCCGGCUCCCUCACCUUUGUCCCCUUUCCCCACCCACACGGCGCCGCGGCUGACCUCCACCUUGCUGGCUGGCCGCCGUCUCUCUGCCCGCCAAGCUCCAGCCCCCGCCCCCGCCCCCGCCUUGCCUCUCCGCGUUCUCCCUGGCCACCGCGCCGUCCACGCCGACUCGCCCCGCGACGACCACCGCGCCGUCGCUCCCCCCUCAUCUUGAAGGCCGGUGUGGUGGCCCGCCACCGAGCCACCCCCACACGCCCUGCAGCUUGAAGCUAGCCGAGGGAUCUGCGCCUCCAGCCACCAAGAUGGUCACCCGGUUUGCUGCUCUUCCCCCUCUGAAGAUUUUUCUGAAUGUCAACGGGGGCAAAAGCAGUCCACCGGAGCUGAACACUUAGGAUUAGUCGGGCUGGAUUUCAACAAGCCACUACUCCAAUUUUAUUAAGCCAGUACCCCAAUUUCAAGUAUAUCUUCUUGUGCUUCCCAGAAUUUAUUUCGCAAUUGCUGGGAAUUUAUGAGCUUAUUCUUCAUGUUUUUUCUUCAGGAUGAUCCAAUAUGCUGAAAAACACCAAGUGGAAAUUGCAUGGCUGUUUGACUUAGCAUGCCCGGAUGUUGCCAAGAGGCAAGGAUUGUUCGAAGCAACACCAACACAUUUUAUUCUUCAUGACAUGCACAUACUCCUUUCGCUGGAGCGCAUUGCCAACAUGCCUGAUUACCAACGCUACUGCAUCACCGUUGCUUCAGUGUGUAGCCUCAUCUCUGAGUACGAUGUGAUCCACACCUUUGUUUGCUGCUUUCUUGGCAUUGCCGUGGGAUCCUGGACAGCAAACAAAUGCUGGUACCAAAUACCUAGCUAGCAUUGAUAUAACUGCAGCUAUUUGUGUUCGACCUCUCAGUUGUUCGUGGACUUCAGUUGAGUUGAAAGCCUGGUCUCCAUCGUUGUUCCUGGUCAACAUUACAUGUGGCUGAUGAUUUGGAGGAUAACUGACGAUAGACCUAUCACUGCAUGUUUGGUUAUGCUACAGACCACUGAAUUUUGUUCCACAGAAGUGAGCUCAUGGAAGAUAUCUGGUUUCAAUAUCAUUAUCAGUAUCCAAGCUGACUACUGCUAUGCGUGCUCUGUUCCUGACAAUACAUAUCUGCAAUCCAUGGCCGAGUGCUCUCCUGCUGAGAUAUGCUGACUUUGGAUCCAGGUGACAGUGUAUGGAUUCCUGUUGCAUAUGUUGUUGUUACCGAUGGCGUAUGGACCGUCAUGUGCUUCUGAGUGUUCCUCGUAGUUCCACGGGCAUUUCAGUUCCUUGCUUAUGUUGCCAUAUGGAGCUCCUGCAGUGUGGAGUUUUGUCAAGGCAAGUUGUCAGGGGAUCCAGGCAUCUGGGCCCUUCUCUAUUUCUUUGGACUUUUCACUCAAGCUGAAGUAAUAGGAAGGAGGAAUGUUGUAGCUCCAACCUACUACCACGGCCACUGCCUCAACCAUGCUCUGACAACGUCUCUGUCAACCAACACUAUUACCUCGAUGCUUUCUGUGACCAAGUGAACAUGAUCGACGACUACUUCCUUGAGCAAGUCGGCGUCGUUUGCUACCUCAACCUCGCCAAGUUCCGCCUCAACUACGGCACCCACCACCACCUUGGCGAAGCCAUGAAGCAUCAAGUACCAUGGGAUCCCGGUGGUUUCCACAUUGAGUCGGCUUGAGGGCAAGCCGAAAUUUAAGGAAGAGGGAAUGUCAGUGGCCUCACUCUCUGUAGCUGGGCCGUACAGAGGGGCGCCUCUUGGGCCCGGGCCUGCCAGCAAACUACUACAUGAGAUGAGUACAAAUAGAACAGAAAGGCAUCUGAAGACGGGGACGAACGGAAGGGCGUGGUGUCGUCUUCUCCGCUUUCCUGCUCCUGUACUGCUCGUCUUCCUCCCCUAUCCCCUCCAUGAAUUCCAUUAGUUAGCUUCCAAUUCCUCCAUCAAUGGCUUGCAACCUUUGAAUCAUAGCUGGGUUGUUAACAUUUACCCUGAUUCUUCAGUUCAGUUUAGUUGAGACACCCAAUUCCUCUGUCCCUUAUCUGAAAUCUCUUCUUCAGUUAAGUUGAGACACCAAAUUCCUCUGUCCCUCAUCUGAGAUCUCUUCUUCAGUCAGCUUGAGACAGAGUUGUUUGCUUCCCCCGUCCCGCAACGGUAGCCGCAACAUCAGGUUCAACAGUAUCAUCAGUUUCGCAUAAUUUCUUGAAUAAUAAAAAAAAAUCUGUUGCCAUUUCCUCAAUCUGCUUCUUUUCCUGAACCAAGUUCCGCUCUGCAUCUUUUAGUUUCCCUGAUCUUAUUUUUCCUCUGUCGACAUGCGGCUUUUCGUUGAAAAUACAUAUGGUGAUUUGUUCCCCCUCUCUGAUAGUAGUGACUCGAGCGCGUUGGGGCCAUAGCAUCUUCUCUUCUCUGUACAGAUAUAUUCAUCCAACUCAUUUGAGCNNNNNNNNNNNNNNNNNNNNNNNNNNNNNNNNNNNNNNNNNNNNNNNNNNNNNNNNNNNNNNNNNNNNNNNNNNNNNNNNNNNNNNNNNNNNNNNNNNNNNNNNNNNNNNNNNNNNNNNNNNNNNNNNNNNNNNNNNNNNNNNNNNNNNNNNNNNNNNNNNNNNNNNNNNNNNNNNNNNNNNNNNNNNNNNNNNNNNNNNNNNNNNNNNNNNNNNNNNNNNNNNNNNNNNNNNNNNNNNNNNNNNNNNNNNNNNNNNNNNNNNNNNNNNNNNNNNNNNNNNNNNNNNNNNNNNNNNNNNNNNNNNNNNNNNNGGUUAAGUUGAGACAGAGACCGAUAGAGAUCGAAUUCCCCGCAGCGGCAACCGCAACCGCCUCCCUCUUUCUCCUCGCCCCCCCUUCAAAUAUCCGCUCGGCCGCCAAAACCAACCGCAACCAAAGCGAAACCCCAACCCCAACCAACAGCAAUCAGUCAUGGAAAUCAACCGAGGGAGGCAGGCGCCCGCCGCGGCAGGCCCCCUCCUGCCGCCUCCAGGGGCCGUGCCGCCGCCGGCCACCUGGAGCUCCUCGGGGUGCUCCGCCUCCGGGCGAGGGGCGUCCCCGCGUGGAUGCUCCCGCCGUACAUCCUCCUCGAUGUGGACAUAUACGGCUCCAACCCGCGACAACUCCUGGAGUCGCACGCGCCUGCCACCGCCUCCGACGGCACGUCGGCCCUCUACUUCCUGAGCGUGGUCCGCGCGAAGACGGCGGGCGACUACAGAGAGAGGAGGAGCGUCCCCGGGGGGUUCUGGAGGUCGGAUCGAGCCCCGGUGCCGCUCGUCUCCGAGGCGAUUCAAGGUACUCGGCGCACCUUCUUCUACACCGAGCUGGGGUCGCACUCGCACGGGGAGAAGAUCGGUACGGGGUUCAUGAUGCAAGAGCUCAUCCUCGUCGGCGAGGAAGAGGCGCGCCAAGGCGGCGACGGAUUGGCCUUGUGCAAGAUCUAUGUGAGUCCGCACGGAGGGAGGGACGCGCCCGGCAUCGCCAAUUCAAUCAACAAGAGGAAGAUCGGGGAGCAAGGCGUCGCCAGUUCAAGCAAGAGGAGGAAGAUGGUGGCCGGGGCCGCCUCCUUCUCUCCGGCUCCUGUUCGGGCCGCCUCGGCGCCUGCGCCUGCUCUCCGCCCGGCGCCUGCUCUUCCGGUGAGGAGCUCCAGUCUGCCUCAACAAGNNNNNNNNNNNNNNNNNNNNNNNNNNNNNNNNNNNNNNNNNNNNNNNNNNNNNNNNNNNNNNNNNNNNNNNNNNNNNNNNNNNNNNNNNNNNNNNNNNNNNNNNNNNNNNNNNNNNNNNNNNNNNNNNNNNNNNNNNNNNNNNNNNNNNNNNNNNNNNNNNNNNNNNNNNNNNNNNNNNNNNNNNNNNNNNNNNNNNNNNNNNNNNNNNNNNNNNNNNNNNNNNNNNNNNNNNNNNNNNNNNNNNNNNNNNNNNNNNNNNNNNNNNNNNNNNNNNNNNNNNNNNNNNNNNNNNNNNNNNNNNNNNNNNNNNNNNNNNNNNNNNNNNNNNNNNNNNNNNNNNNNNNNNNNNNNNNNNNNNNNNNNNNNNNNNNNNNNNNNNNNNNNNNNNNNNNNNNNNNNNNNNNNNNNNNNNNNNNNNNNNNNNNNNNNNNNNNNNNNNNNNNNNNNNNNNNNNNNNNNNNNNNNNNNNNNNNNNNNNNNNNNNNNNNNNNNNNNNNNNNNNNNNNNNNNNNGAGGAGCUCCAGUCCUCAGCAAGGCCCCUCCCCUGCGCCUCCUCUCCGCUCCGCGCCUGCUCUUCCGGUGAGGAGCUCCAGUCCUCAGCAAGGCCCCUCCCCUGCGCCUCCUCUCCGCUCCGCGCCUGCUCUUCCGGUGAGGAGCUCCAGUCCUCAGCAAGGCCCCUCCCCUGCGCCUCCUCUCCGCUCCGCGCCUGCUCUUCCGGUGAGGAGCUCCAGUCCUCAGCAAGACCCCUCCCCUGCGCCUCCUGUGGGGCAGGGCGCCUGCAUCUCCUCUGCGCCUCUCAGGCAAGCUGCCUCCACCUCCUCGGCGCCUGCGGCAUCCACCUCCCCGAACGAAGCCAGGCGAUUGCUCGUUCUGGAGAUCUGCAAGUCCCCCCUCAUGGAACGGGGGAAUAUCUUGAAGCAUAUAAUCUACGGAGCUGCGGAGAUUCUGGGUGGGACAAAGCGAACUUUAGACUGCACCAAUUUGGUCCUCUUCGAGAAGAAGAAGAUGCUGGGAACAGAAAGUUUUCAAGGUAAACUACUACAUGGUGAUACAUCUACUCUGUUUCUGUAGAUAGACUAGAGUCUUCCCUCUUCCUAAUUGUUUGUUAUAGAGUGAUCAGAUACUUAUUGUUGUUGCAUACUUGGAAUUAUUUGUUACAUAGUGAUCAGAUACUUAUUGUCGUUGCAUACUUGGAGUUGUUUGGACAAUGGAUGCGUUUAGGCUCUUCGAUCUGAUAACUGACAACUACACUUGUUUUUAUUUCUGCAGAUAUCUCAAGCCCUGCUCUGGAUACCCAUCACCUGUCAUUCACCUUUCAGGAGAUAAAUGCGGCGACAUUAGGCUUCCGGAGAGAUCACUUCCUCGGAGAAGGCAGGUCCGCUAAGGUGUAUAAAGGUGUGCUGCUAGAUGGCAAUAAUGUAAGUUCAUGUGCUCUAUACUUCAAUAGACAGUUCAAUUAUUGAGCCAUGUUUGAUGAUGUAUUAAGCUGGAAGAUAUUUUCCUUCUACAAUAGACAGUUCACAUGAAUGACAGUAUGAUCACAAGUUAAUCUGAGUUCAACAAGUGAUAUAAGACAUUUUAGGGCUGAUUGAACUUCGGGUGUAUCAUAACAAGCAUAUGUUUGGUUUCUGUGAGAUUAUUGAAUAGGUUUGCACGUUUCAUUGCAUGCUGUUGCUACCUUUCCUUUUCCUCUCAGUACUAUCUUGGAAGUGCAGCAGCAUAUUGGAACAAAAAAAAACAUAUCAAGUUUACAUAUGAUCAUAUUUGUUAAUAUACAAAUAUUUUUACCAUCUUCCAUUCUAUAAAGUUACUGCAAGCCCUCUGAUGUGCACACAAAACGUGCAAUGUAAGUCAGUUUAAUUAAAAGUUGUUCGGUUUAAUUUUGUAUUGCUACAGAGAUAGCAAGCAUAUUGUGCAGGUGGCCAACUGCCCCUACAUCUCUAGUAUCCAGAUACAACUAAUCUUAACACAAUAUAAGACUUUUUACUUCAAGACUUUUUUUACUGGAAAAGAAAUGACUGGUAUUUUACUUCAAGAUUCCACACACACUUGUAGUUUUUGUAUGUCAAGAACAGCCAUAGCAUUUCGUUUCGUAUUUUUUAAUGUGGUCGACGAUUCAUGCUAUGGGUUACUGAGGUUGUUUUUUCUGAGGAGAUGGUGUAGUAUAUGAUUCGCUUGUAUGUUGCUGUCAUAGGUAGCUAUCAAGGUUCUCAACCCCAAUGGAUUGCAUGGGAACAAAGAAUUCUGCACAGGAGCUAUGGCGUUGAGCAGGAUUUAUCACCCGAACCUUCUGAAGCUUGGUGGCUUUUGCACCGAUGAUAAUCAAAGAAUAUUGAUUUAUGAAUAUAUGCCUUUGGGCUCAUUGGAAAAACAUAUUUUCGGUAUGGUACUAAACUACACAAUAUACUAAUAAUUCUGUUCUCUGCUUCCUUGCUUUGUUGCUGAAUAAGCAAAGGCUUGUUUUAACCAAAAUUUGGUUUUGUUUUUCAUCUAGAUCUUUCCCCUCAUAAGAAGGCGCUUGAUUGGAAUACAAGGAUUAACAUACUUGCUGGGGCGGCUGAAGGCCUGAAGCACUUGCAUGUUAACUGCAACCCUGCAGAGAUACACGGUGAUGUGAAAAGUGGGAACAUUUUGCUUGGCGAGGGAUGUCAUCCCAAGUUGUCUAACUUUGGCUUGGCAAAGCUAGGUCCGCCUGGUGACAAUACUCAUGUUCCAACCAGAGUGAUGGGUACAUCUGGGUAUUGUGCGCCGGAGUAUCUUGAGAGUGGUGAGUUGACUAUCAAGUCAGAUGUUUUCAGCUUUGGUGUUGUCAUAAUGGAGGUUAUCACAGGAAGAAACGCUUUAGGAUGGAGUCUUACCAGAGCUGAGCCUACCCUUGCUGAAUGGGUAAGCAUCACUUCCUGCGCUCUCUUUUUGUUUUGAAGAACAAUUCCUUGCUUCUGCCCAAUGUUACAAAUCUCUUUAUCACUAGGAAGAUAUUACUGCGAUGAAAAUUAAUUAAUGUGACUUCUGUUGCUCUAUAUUUCAGGCCACGCCUUUGACCAGGAGAAAUGAUUUUACAAAGUAUGCCGACCCAGCGCUUGGCAACAAGUACAACAAGAAAUCACUGCUUCAGGUUCUUUCGGUUGCGCGGAUGUGUCUAAAUCCAGCAGCCAGCCUAAGGCCUGACAUGGCAGACGUAGCGGCGGCACUUACUAACAUCUCAAUGUCUGCUGGUACCGACGUAUAGUUUCCGGCCAUUGUAUGAUGAUGAUGAUACUGUGCUCUAGAAGAGUCUCCAUUUCCCAGUCCGAUAUGAUCGAAUCGCUGGAGGGGGGCAGUUUUGCCUGUAAAAACUAUAUAGAUACAUAGAUAAAGUAGGAGCAAAUUGUGAUAUGUGCUUGGAGACAUAGUUAUUGAGUAUUAUCUGCCAUUUUUCAGGUGCUUAUUAUCCAACUGUUUCUGACUCUUAUGCGACUGAGUGCUAUGGGCAUGAUGGUGGACGUAAUAUUUUACUAAAUCGUGAAUGAUCAUUCCGGACAAUAAUCAACGGAUACUUUGUCCUUUUUACACUACGCCUAUAAUAAGACACUGGAACAUCAUUUCCUUUGCAGUGCUUUUGCAAAACUCUUCACAAGGAAACAGAGCAUCCUCUUCCCUUUCCUGUAUAACAAAACAUCUAUCUGUGGACUGUGGUCACAUCACCUUAGCUUUUUAUCAUCUUUCUAGCUAGAAGAAGAACCAGUCUUCAACAAUGCAGUGUUUGUCCAGAGAAAUAUGCUCAGUGCCCCUAUCUUUUCUCCCCAGCCUUUUUCUCCAUGUAUGUGUUUGGAUGAACAAAGCAUCAGUUUCAUAAGUUCUAUUUCCACAUGUUAUUNNNNNNNNNNNNNNNNNNNNNNNNNNNNNNNNNNNNNNNNNNNNNNNNNNNNNNNNNNNNNNNNNNNNNNNNNNNNNNNNNNNNNNNNNNNNNNNNNNNNNNNNNNNNNNNNNNNNNNNNNNNNNNNNNNNNNNNNNNNNNNNNNNNNNNNNNNNNNNNNNNNNNNNNNNNNNNNNNNNNNNNNNNNNNNNNNNNNNNNNNNNNNNNNNNNNNNNNNNNNNNNNNNNNNNNNNNNNNNNNNNNNNNNNNNNNNNNNNNNNNNNNNNNNNNNNNNNNNNNNNNNNNNNNNNNNNNNUUUUGCUUUGGAUCUUGUCCCAGAUCUGCCAUCCCUCCUCUCCCCUCCCCUCCCCUUGGCUCUCUGUUUUUUGUGGCUGAUUUGAUGGAUUGGAGAAGAAGAGCUCUGUUUCCAUAUCAGCUUCUUUCCCCAACUUUUUUUAGUAUGGGUUCGCAACAUUUGUACUCAUACACUCGUACGCAAGAACACUCUCCCCGGGGAACAUGGCUAGGGUUUUUACCUCCAUCUUGAGGGGACUGAACUUGUAUAGUUCCUCAUGUCACCCCCGGGUCUCGCUUGAUAUUUGAUAAGGCCUUGCUCCUCCCCACUCUCUUACUUUUAUAUUCUCACCACGACAGUUGGUGCCCACCUUGGGGCUGCACAUCUCGUGAUCGAUGGUGCAGGUGGUUCAUUCGUCUUCAUCGACUUCCGGCAUGGAGCUAAUCACGGGAGAGCUGAUCUUCUUCGGAACGAUUGGUUUUGUCAUCGAUGAUUCAACGCGGAUUGCCGAGGCCUUGUUGGAUGUUGAUUCGCUGUCCGCGUGCGGUGUCACGCACUACCGUGUCGACGACUCUGGCGUGUUGUAUCGCCAGCCGUCUGGCCCGUACCAGGCAGCCGGAGGACCCGCGGUUCGUCAUCAUCAGAAGCGCUCGGGCAAGGCAUGUCUUUGUCGUUGGACUCACCAUGUUGCUUCAAGCAAGGCCUCUUCCCAUGAGGUAGCUAUGAUUCACCCCUCUUGAGUUUGUUCAUGAUUUGUUUGUGACAACCUCUGAUGAUGAGGAGGGUUGUGGGAGCCUUGGUCUGUUGCAGAGGUUUUGAUUCCAAUCCGUCUCACAGAACGGUUGACUCGUCAGCUGACAUGGAUGACAAAGAGCAGGGAAAUCGGAACACCAAUGAUGGUAAUGCAACUGGCCAUGAAGGCGGUGAAGAGCGUGUAGGAAAUGGUACCCGAGGUGGUGCCACAGAUCUCACUCAGGAGCAGAUAGCUGUGUGGGCUUAGGAUGCGGAGCAGGCCCUGCAAACACCAAUUGACACAUCAAUUCGUGAAGGUUUUCAUCUUGAGGCUACUCGUUUAGCCACCUUGGCUAAGAGGUAGUGCUUAAGGAAAUUAGAUGUCACAACCCAGAGAAGAGGGGAGAUCGAGAUGAGAAAGGGGAUCGAGAUGCAGAGUAGGUGAGAGGAGAGCUUGGAGAAGGGGAAAGGAGAAUCGAGAUCUUUUCCAUUUCAUGCUCAGCGUCUUGUCCACGGUACACUAUGUAGCCGCCCACUUGGGCUAUCUCACACCCACACACGGCCUCAGGCCCAACACACACUUGCUUACAUGGCCUCUGGCCCAAUACGUCUAGCUAGCCCUGUUGCAGUUCAGUUAACUGAACUUCACUUUCAGUCCGCUGCAGAUGUAUCAUCUGCAGGCGUGACAUUGUCCCCUCCUUGAGAAGCAGCUUCCUCCCAGAUGCAGGCCGACGGAUAACGUUGCCGUAGGAUGUCGUAGUCCUCCCAGGUGGUGGCCACCGGUGGCAUGUUGGCCCACUGAACAAGCAAUUGGACGACUGGAGCGUCUCCCUUUUUCAUCAUGCGGCGAUCCAGGAUGGCGAUUGGUUCAGACUCGCCAGCGGCGAGGUCCGGUACCCUGGGCAGUUCCGCGAAGACAGGAGUAUAAUCAGGGGUGAAAGGCUUCAAUUGGGAGACGUGGAAUACCUGAUGGACGCGGCUGUCCGGAGGCAGCUGCAGUGGGUAUGCCAGGGAGCCAAUGCGCUCGAUCACCAAGAACGGGCCAUAGAACUUGUAUGAGAGCUUGCGGCAGGGGCGGUUGACGAUGGAAGAUUGAGCGUACGGCUGGAGCUUGAGCAGUACCUGCUCUCCCACAUCGAAAGCGUGCUCGGCACGGUGUCGAUCCGCCUGCUUCUUGAAACGCGCCUGGGCGCGCGAGAGCUGCACACGCAACAGGUCGGUGUGCGCAGCCCAGUCCAGGUCACCGGAGGACGCGUCGGCAGGCAGCGUGGGAGCUGAGUUGAGGAAGGCCUCCCAGGUUGGGCUCAGUGUUGUAGAGCGCCUUGAACGGAGAGCACUUCAGAGACGAGUGAUGAGAGGAGUUGUACCAGAACUCUGCCGCCGACAGUCACUUGCGCCAUCGAUGUGGGGUGUCGUGGACGGCGCACCGGAGAUACAUCUCCAGGCACUGGUUGACGCGCUCCGUCUGCCCGUCCGUCUGCGGGUGAUGGGCGGUGGAGUACAACAGCUUGGUGCCUGCCGCGGCGAGCAGUUCGCGUCACAUGGCGCUAGUGAAGAUCUUGUCCCGAUCAGAGACGAUGGAGAGAGGUACGCCAUGCAUCUUGAUGACGUUGUCCCAGAACGCGCGGGUGACGUGGACCGUGGUGAAGGGGUGACGAAGCGGCACAAAGUGCGCGAACUUGGUCAGGCGAUCGACGAUGACCAUGAUGGAAUCGCACCCUUCAGAUUUGGGUAAUCCCUCGACGAAGUCCAUGGUGAGAUCUUGCCAUGGCGCUGUAGGUAUUGGUAGGGGUUGGAGCUUGCCCGCCUGGUGCGUGUUCUCAUGCUUGGCAUGCUGGCAGACAGUGCACUGGCGAACAAAAUCCUCAACGACACGCUUCAGACCCGGCCAGGCAAAGAGUUUGCGCACCCUAUGAUAUGUUGUUGUGGUGCCUGAGUGACCUCCCACGGCGCUGUGGUGGUGAGCAGUGAUGAGUUUGGUCUGAAGUGCUGAGUUGGCGCCGAUCCAGAGUCGACUGCGUUGCCGGAUUACGCCUUGCUGCAGAGUGCGCCCUUGAUCGUCAGUGUUGAUGACAGCCAGCUUGGUGAGUAGUUCUUGAGAGUCGGGGUCGGUCUCGUAGGAAUUGGCGACUUCUUGAAGCCAUUGUGGUUGGCAAAUGGACAGUGCGUCGAGCUCCAGGAGGUGACCGACGCGGGACAGCGCAUCGGCAGCACUGUUGUCGACGCCCUUCUUGUAGCGGAAGGAGAACUGCAGCCCCACCAUCUUGGACAUGGCCUUGCGCUGGAGAUCGGUUACCAGUUGUUGAUCAUCAAGUGCACAGAGACUCUUGUGGUCAGUGACGAUCUCAAAUGGAGCUUGCUGCAGGUACGGCCGCCACUUAUCGAUGGCCAUCAUGACGGCGAGAAAUUCCUUCUCAUAUGUGGAGAGCUUCUGAUUGCGUACUCCAAGAGCCUUGCUGAGGUAGGCCACUAGAUGGCCAUCUUGCAUAAGCACCGCGUCCACGCCGGUGUCGCACGCAUCAGUUUCGAUGGCGAACGGGCGCGUGAAGUUGGGCAGUGCCAACACGGGCGUGCUCACCAUGGUGCGCUUGAGCAUGUCAAAAGCUUGCUACGCCUUGUCGUCCCAGAUAAACCCUUUCUUCGUCAAUAGUUGCGUCAGGGGCUUGGCGAUGAUGCCGUAAUGGGGGACGAAUUUGCGGUAGUAGCCCGUCAACCCCAAGAAGCCGCACAGCUCGGUGGGCGUAGUGGGCACGGGCCAGGACUGCAUGGCGCUGGUCUUGCUGUUGUCCGUAGCAACUCCCUCUUGUGAGAUCACAUGUCCAAGGUAUUCAAUGCUUGUUUGUGCGAACGAACACUUGCUGGCCUUGGUGAAUAGUUGAUGCUCGCGGAGAAGUUGCAGCGUGAGGCGAAGGUGUUCCUCGUGUUCCUGCAGGUCAGUGCUGAAUACCAAGAUGUCAUCCAAAAAUAUGAUGAUGAACUUACGCACAUAGCGGCCGAACACCGUGUUCAUCAAGCACUGGAAAGUUGCCGACCCAUUGCAUAGGCCAAAUGGCAUCACCCGGAAGUGGUAGUGGCCAUGGUGUGUCUUGAAGGCAGUCUUUUCCUCGUCCUCCUCCCGCAUGCGAAUUUGAUGGUACCCAGCACGUAAAUCAAUCUUGGAGAAAUACUUGGCCCCUGCCAAUUCGUCCAGGAGCUCGUCAACCACAGGGAGGGGAAACUUGUUCUUCACUGUUGCAGAGUUGAGUCGUCGAAAAUCGACACAGAAACGCCAACUGCCGUCCUUCUUCUUGACCAGCAGGACCGGGGCAGCGUAAGGGCUCAUGCCGUGCACGAUGACACUGGAGUCGAGCAUGUCAUGUACUUGCCGCUCGAUUUCAUCUUUUUGUGCCGGUGAGUAACGGUAUGGCUUGGUGUUGAUAGGUGUGGUGUCGGGCUCCAAAUGAAUGCCAUGGUCAUACUGACGACGGGGUGGCAAAGUAGUGGGUUCAGCAAACACGUCUUCAAAUUCAGAUAACACCUUCUGAAUAUUUGGGGGAACAGGUUCAGGUUGUGUUUUGUCAGUCCGCUCGACGGUAACCAAGGCUGCUCUCCAAAUGUCAUUCGCCACUUCCAUGCGAUGCAACUCAUAGGCAUCCAGUUCCGAGAUGCGAGGCAGGUCUGAAGAUUUUACUCCUUGCAGGUGGACAGUUUUGCCGUUGACGUCGAAUUGGAUCGUCUUCAGUUGCCAGUGACAGAGCAUGGGGCUGUGCGCUGAGAGCCAGUCGAUGCCAAGCACUCCAUCAUACGCGCUCAGCGGCAGAACCCGGAGAUCAGUAUGGAAAGUGUGCCCUGGGACCUGCCAUGCCAACUGGUGAACAAUUUUGUUACAGUGCAAUCUCUGACCAUUGGCCACUCGAACUGUAACCGCGGGUAACUCCUCUAUUCGAGCAGCGAUCCGGGCGGUGAACGUUUCACUGAUGAAACUAUGUGAGCUCCCCGAAUCCACCAGCAGCAGCAUAACCUGAUCACCCACUUGUGCAUGCAAACGGAUCGUAGCAGGGCCUUCCUCGCCUGAUAUAGCAUGUUGAGACAGAGAGCAACAUUCAGGCUCUUGCGCGACUGGUGCGUCCAGCAGCUGCAAUGCAUGCACCGUGUCAUCAGACAAAAUCUCGCCGAAAUCGCCCACUUCAAUCAUCAAAAUCUGUCCUGUGCGUUUGCACUGAUGCUCGCGGGAGUAUUUGUCACCACAACGGAAACAAAGGCCAUUGGCACGCCUGAAUUCGCACAGUUGACGUUCCCGGGCGUACUCGUCCCCACCCAGACGCGGAGGCGCCGCUGCUCGUGCUUGUGUGGGAACUGGAGCUGCUGGUGGAGGAGGAGGACGGCCCACUGGAACAAUGCGAUGGCGCGGCAGACGCUGUUUCUCCAAUUCCUCUUCCUGGAUGCGCGCAAACACGGCUGCUCAUGUGAUGCUGGAGGGACUUUGCAAGCGCACCCCAAGCCGUAGCUCGUCUUUAAGUCCAAGAAGGAACUGUGAUAUGAAGAAUUGUGUGCUCAAGGUUGGGUCCAGGGACAAGAGGUGAUACAUGCGGGUUUCGAAUUGUUGCCGAUAAUCCUGCACACUCCCUGUCUGUCGUAACUGAACCAAUUCGUGCAUUUGUGUUUCAAAUUCUUCUGGCCCAAAUUCCUCCUCUAUUGCUGCUCUGAAAGUCGCCCAACUGACCCCGGGAUGCUGUUAAGGCAUAUCUCUCUAGAUGUAGUUUUUGGUGAUUGAUGACAACAUGUUUGCGGACUAAUCGUGUGCUUUGAGCAUUUCAGAGAUUCAUCCUUUGGCACGAGACGAUUUCUUUCCCUUCGGAGUGUCAUUCAAGACGGUGUAGCUCUUUCGCUCCUUUUGGUGGACUAGUUUCGUAGGAGUCACCGUACUAUCAAGAGGGGGUCCGCUUUGGUAAGGCUAGGGUGGAAUCAACACGUACACAUCCUCUUUACACCCUCUGAGCCUUUCCGCUUCAUUGGAGAUCUCUUUCCCCUCUCCUUGGGUUGUGUCUGGUCCCAGCGGUAGUACCGCGGUACUUAGUGGUAGUACCGCUUAGGGGUCACAGGCGACAGUACCGCUCCGCAGCGAUAGUACCGCCGGUGGGUCCUCAGCAAUAGUACCGCUGCGGUACCAGGCCCCUACCGCGUCAACUCGAGGGGUAAUUUUUCAUGUCGGAUUGUGCGGUACUUUGCAGCGGUAGUAGAGCGGCAGUGCCGCUCAUGAGCGGUAGUACCGCCCUACCACCGCGACAGUACCGCUCGGGUCUGUCUCUCUCCUGCCCUCCAAACUCCACGGUAGUACCGCCCGGGGGAGCGGUAGUGCCGCUGCCUUCUGCGGUAGUACCGCCCUCUGCGGGCUGUUUUGGGGGGUAACGGUUGGAUUGUUCCCCCCACUAUAUAAGGAGGUCUUCUUCCCCAAAGUUGACCUACCUCUUCCCCCAAAAGCUCCAUUGUUGCUCCAAGCUCCAUUUUCGCCCGAUCUCUCUCCCUAGCCAAUCAAACUUGUUGAUUUGCGCGGGAUUGGUUGAGAAGGCCCCGAUCUACACUUCCACCAAGAGAAAUUUGAUUCCCCCCCACUUAUCCCUAGCGGAUCUUGUUACUCUUGGGUGUUUGAGCACCCUAGAUGGUUGAGGUCACCGCGGAGCCAUAGUCCAUUGUGGUGAAGCUUUGUGGUGUCGUUGGGAGCCUCCAAUUAAGUUGUCGAGAUUGCCCCAACCUUGUUUGUAAAGGUCCGGUCGCCGCCUUCAAGGGCACCAAUAGUGGAAUCACGGCAUCUCGCAUUGUGUGAGGGCGUGAGGAGAAUACGAUGGCCCUAGUGGCUUCUUGGGGAGCAUUGUGCCUCCACACCGCUCCAACGGAGACGUACUUCGCUUCAAAAGGAAGGAACUUCGGUAACACAUCCUCGUCUUCACCGGCUCCACUCUUGGUUAUCUCGUCCCUUUACUUUCGCAAGCCUACUUGUGUUAAAUCCCUUGCUUGCUUGUGUGCUUGUUGUCAUUGCAUCAUAUAGGUUGCUCACUUAGUUGCAUAUCUAGACAACCUACUUUGAUGCAAAGUUUAAAUUGGUAAAGAAAAGCUAAAAAAUGUUAGUUGCCUAUUCACCCCCCCUCUAGUCAACUAUAUCGAUCCUUUCAAUUGGUAUCAGAGCCUCGUCUCUUUAUUAAGGACUUUAUCGUCUGAAGAGUAUGGUUGACGUCGUAGACGGUGUGGAGGAGCACUCCGGUGUGAAUCCGGUCUCGUCUACGGGAGAUGGGGGAACCACGGUCUCUCGUGAGGAAUUCAAUGUGGCGUUGGACACAUUGAAAACCUCCAUGACUACCGAGGUCGAAAGCAUGUUUAAUAAAUUCUUAGAAGGGCUUAAACUUUCCACCGCACCGUUGAAAGUGGGUGAUCCCGCCAACAAGGUGACGGAUGUUACCUCCGACAAAGGGGAAGCUACUAGCGAGAAAGCUCCUUCUUCUAGUGGUAAAAAUGGCACCGGCAUCUUUGCCCAUGUGGAACCUCCACUUGUCUAUGGUGGACCGCUCCCUUCCACUCAUUUGAAUCAUGCCGGCCCGGCCCCUAAGAUUGAGAAGAAUGUAGAUUUUGAUUCUUGGGUCUAUCGUUUUAAGCGUCAUUUAAAUCAUGUGAACACUAACCUUUGGAGAAUCAUUGAAGAAGGUUUCUAUCCGCAUGACCGAAGUAACUUCACUCCUAGAGAAGUUGUGGAUCAUCAAUUCAAUGAGAAUGCUCUCUUCAUCAUCCAAGAAGCAAUCCCACCCGAAGAUCUUCCUCAUCUCCGGCCCUACACCGUGGCCAAAGAUGCUUGGCUCCAAGUUGUUUCCCUCUAUCGGGGAAGCGCAAGCAUUCAACGCUCCAACUAUGAAGUGGUGCAAGAUGAAGCCGAUGAGUUUGCAAUGAAAGAAGAUGGAGAACCUCGUGAGCUUUUUCGGAGAGUAACCAAACUCGCGGUCUCUCUCCGAGAUCAUGGAAGUAAGGACAUGGAUGACAAUUGGAUCAAGCGCAAAUUCCUCAAGGCAAUGAUGCCCUACCACAAAGCCAUGUCCUCCGUCAUUCGGCCAAGGGCGGACUUCCACACCUUGUCCUCAAGUGAAGUGUUGGAUGAGUUCGUUGCUAUGAGCAUCUUGGACAAGACCGCCGACAAUGCGGUUCUUCGCUCUCAAAGAGUAAAGAAGCCCAACCUUGCUCUAAAGGCCAAGGUUAGUAUGGAGGAAGAGGAUGAAGAGGAAGAAGAGGAGAGCAACCUCAAAGAUACGAAGUGUGCCUAUCAUGAACACAUGGCUCUUGCUUCAAGGCAAUUUUGGAGCAAGAAGAACACAAGGCCAAACUUCAACAAGAACAAUUCAAGUGGCGCAAAGGGCAAGCAACGAGUGAGGACUUGCUUCAAUUGUGGCAAUGUGAGCCACUUUGUUGCGGAGUGCCCUUACGAGAAGAGGGAAGACAAUGGUGGCAAGCUCAUUCGAAAGGACAAGGCCAAGUCGUUCCCCAACAAGAGCAACUUCACCAAGAAGACUCCUCCCAAGGCAUUGGUGGUACAAGAAGAGUACAAUGAGGGUGAUGACGAUGAUGAAGAUGGUGAGUCGGUUGCCAUGGCCUCCAUUGCCAUUGCGAUGACCCCACGGAUGUCUCUCUUCGACUCACCCAAUGAGAACAUCACCGCCAAGUGCCUCAUGGCUAAAGCCACCAACAAGGUAACCCCCAACAUCAAAACUACCAUCAUUAAUCAUCCUUCUUCGACGGAUAGCAUUGAUGAACAUGAGGGGACAAAUGUGGAGGAAAAUGAGUUUGAGACCUUUAUGGGUAAACUCAAGGGUAAAUCCAAGAAGCACUUCGUUGCUCUCUUGGAACAACUUGGUGAAGCCAAUGACAUGAUCGAGGCUCACGAAGAUACCAUCUCUAAGAUGGAGGGGCAUAGUCGUGACUAUGCCGAUGAGAUGUCGGAUCUUUCCAAUGCUCUUGACGAAGAGCGUGGUCUUUGUUUGGCUCUUGAGUAGUCAUACAACGAUGAUCAUGCUAAGUUAAAGAAAGAUCUUGAUCAUACUCUUGUUGUGUCUCGUGUGCUAAACUCCGAGAAGGCAAAGCUUGGGGUUGAUCUUGCUAGACUUAAAGAGGAGUUUGACAUUCUCGACAAGGCUCACAAAGUCUUGAAGGGUGUUCAUGCUAGCCUCAAGGAGUCUCAUGAUCAACCCAAGUGAAGCUAACUAAUGAGAAAGCCACCUUUCCUCAUAUGGUGUUAAUUGAUAAUGCAAAUGCUACUAACCCUUCUUGUGAGCAUGUGCAUCUUGUUGAGGAGAAUGCUAAGUUGAAGGAGCAACUUGAGAAAGGCCUUGUGUCAUGCAUACAAGGUGAGAAGAACCUCAAUGACCUUUUGAGCAAUCAAAAGGAUGUUGUGGCCAAGGAGGGGAUUGGGUUCGCACCCAAGCUCAAGAACAAGAAGAAGAAUGACAAGACCAAAAGACCUCCUCCUCUCAAGCAAACUUUUGUGAAGGAGGGAGAGGGUGCUUCCAAGGAGAAGAAGAACAAUGCGAAGGGUGGCGGUGUCAAGAAGGGCAAUGCCACCCCUUCGAACAAAGCCGGCGACUUUAAUCCUUCUUAUGUGCUAUGCCGUGCUAGUGAUGGGCAUGUUUAUACCAAAUUUGUUGGUUCUCCUCAUGAGUAUAUUGAAUGGUCUAUUUGGGUUCCUAAGACCCUUGUUACUAACAUCAAAGGACCCAUUACAAAAUGGGUACCUAAAACCAAGCAUUGAUCUCUUGUAGGUGUUUGCUUCCGGUGGGGGAUCAUGGUUGCUCGAUAGUGGAGCUACAAAUCAUAUGACCGGAAGCAAGGACUUGGUGGUGGACGUGCACAAGAUUCCAUCUAUGCCCACCAAUGUCAAGUGGGGUGAUGCCUCGUCUUCUAAGGUAUUGGGACUCGGCAAAGUUGUCAUUUCUCAUGAUCUCACGAUCGAGAAAGUCAUGCUUGUUGAGUCCCUUGCAUACAAUUUACUUUCUGUUCGUCAACUUGCAGUCAUGACUAUUCAAGAUACACUUGGGUGUAUUUCUUCAAGAGGAAGAGUGAGACCCAACAAACCGUCAUUGACUUUGCAAAUGAAGCCCAACGUCAACACAAUGCAAAGAUCUUGACAAUAAGAAGUGACAACGGCACCGAGUUCAAGAACUACACCUUGGAUGAGUUUCUUAGUGAUGAGGGGAUCAAGCAUCAAUAUUCCGCACCUUACACCCCUCAACAAAACGGUGUUGCGGAGAGGAAGAACCGAACGUUGAUGGAUGCCGCAAGGACCAUGAUGGCGGAGUUCAAGUCUCCAUACAACUUUUGGGCCGAAGCCAUCAACACCGCGUGUCAUGCAUCCAAUCGGCUCUACCUCCGCAAGGGCUUGAACAAGACUCCAUAUGAGAUACUCACCGGUAACAAGCCCAACCUCAAGUACUUUCGGGUGUUCGGGUGUAAGUGUUUCAUUCUCAAGAAAGGUGUUCGGUUGUCUAAAUUUGAGGCUUGAGCUUAUGAGGGCAUAUUUGUUGGUUAUGCUACAAACUCUCAUGCUUACCGUGUCCUCAAUAAAUACACGGGACUUAUUGAGGACACGUGUAACGUGGAGUUUGAUGAGAAUAACGGCUCCCAAGUGGAGCAAAGUGGCACUUGUGAUGUAGGUGAUGAAAUUCCUCCUCAAGCCAUAAGAAGAAUGGGUGUUGGUUUUAUCCUACCCAUUGAGGAACCCCUUGUGGCCGGAGGAGAAGGACAAUGCUCCACUCAAGUGGAGCCAUCACCAACCCAAGGCCCACACGCUUCCGAAGAACAAAGUGAAGGCCCUCAACCUCAUGAACAAGACCAAGGGCAAGAUCAUGCUCAAGACGGUGGUGACACACCAAGUGAUGCCCAAGGUCAAGUUCUCUCCUCCGAGCAAGUUCAAGAUCAAGAACAAGCUCAAGACGUCACUCAAGAUGAUCAAGUGACCGCUCCUCAACUCACCACCGAGGAGGAAUUGGAGCGUCGUGCCGCCAAGAUUGCUUCGAAGCUCUCCACCAAGGGUCAUCUCAUGAAGAAUGUGCUUGGAAGCAUUCAAAAGGGGGUAAGCACUCGUAGACAAUUGGCAAACUAUUGUGAACAUCACGCGUUUAUCUCUUGUGUGGAACCCCAAAAGGUAUAUGAAGCACUCGAAGAUCCGGAUUGGCUCAAUGCCAUGCAUGACGAACUCAACAACUUCGAGUACAACAAGGUGUGGAGAUUAGUGCCAAGGCCAACGGGGAACCACAAUGUCAUUGGAACCAAGUGGAUAUUCAAGAACAAGCAAGAUGCUCAUGGGACCAUCAUCCGCAACAAGGCACGAUUGGUGGCACAAGGCUACUCCCAAGUCGAGGGUAUCGACUACGGUGAAACCUUUGCUCCCGUUGCUCGCCUUGAAUCUAUUCGUUUGUUGAUUGCUUAUGCUUCUCACCACAACUUUAAGUUGCAACAAAUGGAUGUGAAGAGUGCUUUUCUUAAUGGUCCUAUUAAUGAGUUGGUUUAUGUCAAGCAACCCCCCGGGUUCGAGGAUCCCUACUUUCCCGAUCAUGUGUAUCAACUCGAUAAGGCACUCUAUGGCCUUAAACAAGCCCCACGUGCGUGGUAUGACCACCUUACCGAGUUGUUACAAGAUCGUGGGUUUGAAGUUGGGCUAAUCGACCCCACUCUUUUUACUAAGAAGGUCAAAGGGGAGUUGUUUGUGUGCCAACUAUAUGUUGAUGACAUUAUCUUUGGUUCUCCUAACAAAGCUUUCAAUGAGGAAUUUGCCGCACUCAUGACCUCAAAGUUCAAGAUGUCUUCCAUGGGAGAGUUGAAGUUCUUUCUCGGUUUCGAAGUAAAGCAAAGAAGAGAAGGAACCUUCAUCAACCAAGCCAAAUACACUCAAGACAUGCUCAAUAGAUUCAAGCUAAGUGAUGUCAAGCCGGCGUCCACUCCAAUGCCCACCAAGUGCCAACUUGACAUCGAUCCCAAUGGUAAAGCGGUGGAUCAAAAGGUAUAUCGCUCCAUGAUUGGUUCCUUACUUUACCUUUGUGCAUCUAGACCAGAUAUCAUGUUGAGUGUGGGAAUUUGUGCAUGUUUUCAAGCCGCACCUAAGGAAAGCCACUUUGUGGCGGUCAAGCGAAUCUUUCGAUAUUUGGCUCAUACCCCAAACUUUGGCUUAUGGUACCCAAGAGGAGCAAACUUCAAGCUUGUAGGGUAUUCGGACUCCGAUUGGGCGGGAGACAAAGUGGAUAGGAAGUCCACUUCCGGAGGGUGCCAAUUCCUUGGUUGCUCUUUGGUAAGUUGGUCUUCUAAAAAGCAAAGUUGUGUGUCUCUCUCGUCCACCGAAGCGGAGUAUGUGGCGGCCGGCAGUUGUUGUGCACAACUCUUAUGGAUGAGGAAAACUUUAAAGGAUUACGGUGUCAUUUGUGACAAAGUGCCUCUUUGGUGUGACAAUGAAAGUGCCAUCAAGAUUUCUCUCAACCCGGUGCAACACUUCAAGACGAAGCAUAUUGAGAUUCAGUAUCACUUCAUCCGGGAUCAUAUUAGGCGAGGGGAGAUCGAGCUCAACUAUGUCAACACUCAUGAUAACCUUGCAGAUAUUUUCACGAAGCCGUUGGAUGAAGCAAGAUUUCGCGAGUUAAGGCAUGAGCUAAAUAUCAUUGAUUCGAGCAAUGUUGCUUGAACACUUGCACUCCCCACCAUACUCAACUUGUUAUCUUGUUCAGGUGUAGGCAUGGACAUAGGGGGAGUGUUGUUCUCUUAAUGAACUCUCCAUCCCCUUAUUAUGUAUAAAUUGAUCAACUCUUUCACAUUAGCCAUUUUUGAUGGUACUUGUGCUUCAAAGACGAGUUUUGGUCAUGGGCCCAAGGAUAAUUCUUCGCGGUGCCAUACCAAUUGACUCAAACAUAGGUGGCUCCGGUCACCGCCCUCUCCUUGGAGAGGCUGUGUCUUGUGGUUGGUCCUCGUUGUCUCUUGCCUUUCUUUCUCUCUGCCUUGUCUUAGUCUCCUCUUCUUGCCUUUUUGUUUUUCCCUUCUUUUUGAGCUAGUCGUUUGGUGUCUAGUCUUUGGGUCUUGCUGGGCGGUACUACCGCUGGUGGUGCGCGGUACUACCGCUUAUGUUGACAAGCGGUACUACCGCCCACCCGAGCAGUACUACCGUUGGGGGGCGGGACCAGGGGGUUAUGUCGGGGCAGGGGGAGGUUUCUCCUCCCCCAUACCCAUUCGCAUCGCCCCCUCAUCCCUCUUCCUCUCUCCAGCGUCGCCUCGCCGCGGGAGGGUUCCGGCGGGCCGCCGUCUCCGGGCCAUCCCUCUCCAUUCCCUUUGGUGGAGUCGAUCCCCACCUCGUCCUCUUGCCAUGGAUGCCGGUAUUGCCCUCGUUCCUUCUCUCUUUUUGUCUAGUUCUCAGAUCUAGCAUUUUUGGGGCAAUAGUGGUUGCAUCUCUCGUUUUUUGGCUAAAUCCCGGCUUGAGUAGUUUGGAGAAGGUGUCUAGACUGUGUGGAUUAAGUUUUGGUAGGAGUAUUUUUGAAUUUGGCAGUCCGGUAGUGCCGGAUCUGACCACGGCAGUAGGAACCACCGUUUCCCAGUCUUGAGCGGUACUACCGCUCCCACUGGAGCGGUACUACCGCUCGUGCAGUACUGCCGCCUAUGGCCAGCGGUACUACCGCUGCUUGCCCGAUUCCAUCAUUUUCCUACCAUUGUUUGAUCCAUGUUGCUUUGUUUGGAGGCUUAUGCUUUUUCUUUCGUGUUGGCUCUUCUAUUCGUGUGUUUGGUUCCAGGUGAUGAACGUCCUGAGCAGCAAGUCCGCCGUGUCAACCCCGGUCGUGCAACAUCAAAGCGCUACCGCACCUCUGAGUCAGUAGGUGCUUCCUCAAGUGCGGCACCUCCGCCUCAACUCCAGAAGAAACCUGCCAACAGGCCGAAGCCAAGGGGCAAGACUAUCACUGAGUUGUCUGCCAAGGAGUUCUGGGAAAGGCGUCGCCGCAACCCCUAUGCGGAAGACCAAGAACCCAAUUUGGUCAACCGCCCGUUCUGGAACCGCUUUCAGUUUGCCAUCUACUUUGAUGUGAUCAAGGGCAAGAAGAAUCUCUAUGUUGAUGUUCGCUCCAUUGACACGGAUGCCAUGGAAAAGGAUCCUGAGUACUUUGGUGAAGCUCUUCAGAUGUGUGCUCAGCUAAAGAUUCUCAGAAUCAUGCAGUUCAACAAGGACUUUGAUGCAGAUUUGGUGGCUCAAUUCUAUGCUACUGUCCAUCUUAGCACUGAUGUAGAAAGGACUCUGACCUGGAUGACAAAUGGCAAGUUACUGUCUGUCAAGUGGAAGGCCUUCAUGGAGUUACUUGAGGUGGAAGAUCACGGGCUUGAGACUCCUGUCGGCUUUCGCCCUCACCGCAAUGUCAACUCCACUCACAAGCAAGCCCUCUGGCCCUACUGCACUGUGAAGGUUCACCCUGAGACUAAGAAGGAAACCUAUGAGUUGUCUACCUACCUGGACAUCCCUCAUCAUGUCUUUCGAGAGACCCUAUUUCUCGCAUCGGGAAUCUGGAUAUGGUCCACUCCUAUCUCGUGGAUAUGCUUCUCUUCUGCCAGCAUGAGAAGGAAGCAAACACUGGCGAGUCCCUGGACAUUUCUCAUGUUAUGUGGUCUGAACUUCUCACUGCCAUUUCUGAGCGCAAGUGCCCGAUCUAUGGUCCGUUCAUCAUGCUGCUCAUUGAGAAGGCCUGGGCACGUGUCUAUCCCUAGGUGAUGCUGGAAACUGGAGAAUUGUUUUCUCAUGAGAUCAAGCGUCUGAGCAAGAAGGACAGUUGGGGCACCCCAGCCCCUAAAUCCGGGGGUCCAUCUACUGCUGCUAACAUGGGGACCGAGGACGGGGCUGAGGCCGAUGAUGACGAUGAGGAUUAUGAGAUUUCUAGGACAGAGCCCUCUUGGGCAAAGAAGAUCAAGCGCAAGAUGAAGAAGCUCUUCUGCAUGGAGUCUCGUGGUCAGUACGUGACUUAUGUGGCUGAGAAGAAGGCCAGGGGGCGUCACAAGGAGCUCAUGCGUCAGCUGGGUGCGACCGUUGUCAGUGGGUCUGAGGGCCAGAUCACUGAGGAAGAGGAGUGGAUUCAGCAGCACUGUCCGUGGACCGAUUCCGACACCGAGUAGUUUCUGACUGAGGAUGGCAAUGCAGAUGACCCUGCCAGGAUGUGAUGGGAGAGCUCCUCAGUUUGCCUUCACCUGGAGCCGUAGCGUCGCUCUUUGCCCUUUUGGUGUCUUGAUGCCAAAGGGGGAGAGAGCUUAGGGAUUUGUGCUUUAUGGUGUCGUCGUUUCGCCGUUUUCUUUGUUGUGCCGUUGUGUUUUCUCGCCAUUUGCCUUGUUUGGUUGUGUGCCAGUGAGACCUAAGUUCCAGACAUAUGGUGUAAGACAUAUGCGACCUUAUCUUUAUCUAUGCCUUUCUAGUACUUUGGUAUCUUAUGAGUUGCUUGUCUAUCCUGUUAUAUUACCUGCUCUCAUGUAUCCUAUGCUUAGGUUGUUGGACUAUAAAAUAUAGGGGGAGUGUUGAUUCUAAUGUAUGUGUCCUACAUUCCAAAGGCACUUCUAACUAGGUGCACACAUUCAGGGGGAGCCCGUCUAUAUUUUGUAGUUCUAAGUAUCUUUACUUUCAUGGUAUAUCCUUGUGCAAAUCCCUGGUUGUCAUCAAACCACCAAAAAGGGGGAGAUUGUUAAGGCAUAUCUCUCUAGAUGUAGUUUUUGGUGAUUGAUGAUAACAUGUUUGCGGACUAAUCGUGUGCUUUGAGCAUUUCAGAGAUUCAUCCUUUGGCACGAGAAGAUUUCUUUCCCUUCGGCGUGUCAUUCAAGACGGUGUAGCUCUUUCGCUCCUUUUGGUGGACUAGUUUCGUAGGAGUCACCGUACUAUCAAGAGGGGGUCCGCUUUGGUAAGGCUAGGGUGGAAUCAACACGUACACAUCCUCUUUACACCCUCUGAGCCUUUCCGCUUCAUUGGAGAUCUCUUUCCCCUCUCUUUGGGCUGUGUCUGGUCCCAGCGGUAGUACCGCGGUACCCACGGUAGUACCGCUUAAGGGUCACAGGCGGCAGUACCGCUCCGCAGCGGUAGUACCGCCGGUGGGUCCUCAGCAGUAGUACCGCUGUGGUACCAGGCCCCUACCGCAUCGACUCAAGGGGUCAUUUUUCGUGUCGGAUUGUGCGGUACUUUGCAGCGGCAGUAGAGUGGCAGUGCCGCUCAUGAGCGGUAGUACCGCCCUACCACCGCGGCAAUACCGCUCGGGUCUGUCUCUCUCCUGUCCUCCAAACUCCACGGUAGUACCGCCCGGGGGAGCGGUAGUACCGCUGUUCUCAGCGGUAGUGCCGCUGCCUUCUGCGGUAGUACCGCCCUCUGCGGGGCUGUUUUGGGGGGUAACGGUUGGAUUGUUCCCCCCACUAUAUAAGGAGGUCUUCUUCCCCAAAGUUGACCUACCUCUUCCCCCAAAAGCUCCAUUGUUGCUCCAAGCUCCAUUUUUGCCCGAUCUCUCUCCCUAGCCAAUCAAACUUGUUAAUUUGCUCGGGAUUGGUUGAGAAGGCCCCGAUCUACACUUCCACCAAGAGAAAUUUGAUUCCCCCCCACUUAUCCCUAGCGGAUCUUGUUACUCUUGGGUGUUUGAGCACCCUAGACGGUUGAGGUCACCGCGGAGCCAUAGUCCAUUGUGGUGAAGCUUUGUGGUGUCGUUGGGAGCCUCCAAUUAAGUUGUGGAGAUUGCCCCAACCUUGUUUGUAAAGGUCCAGUCGCCGCCUUCAAGGGCACCAAUAGUGGAAUCACGGCAUCUCACAUUGUGUGAGGGCGUGAGGAGAAUACGGUGACCCUAGUGGCUUAUUGGGGAGCAUUGUGCCUCCACACCGCUCCAACGGAGACGUACUUCCCUUCAAAAGGAAGGAACUUCGGUAACACAUCCUCGUCUUCACCGGCUCCACUCUUGGUUAUCUUGUCCCUUUACUUUCGCAAGCUUACUUGUGUUAAAUCCCUUGCUUGCUUGUGUGCUUGUUGUCAUUGCAUCAUAUAGGUUGCUCACUUAGUUGCAUAUCUAGACAACCUACUUUGAUGCAAAGUUUAAAUUGGUAAAGAAAAGCUAAAAAUUGUUAGUUGCCUAUUCACCCCCCUCUAGUCAAGUAUAUCGAUCCUUUCAGAUGCUUCUAUCGGUAUGCUUGCAGCCACAUCGCCGCCAGGCCUUCCAUCUACAGCGCGGCGGUGGUCACCCAAUUGUGCGGCGGCAUGCGGUACAACUCGAAGUAGGACACGCACCGCUCCAGCCAGAUGCAUGGUGUGGUGCCGUCGAACCGAGGGAAAUCAUGGUUGGGCGGCGUUGUGUAGUAGUCACCCUGGCGCUCGCGCUCGGUGGGCGACGGUGCCCCGGCGAUCAGCAGCGGGGGGCCGUGGUUGACGAGCCGCGCGAACGGAAGCUGCGCCACACCGUCCGCGUAGAGGGGUGUCGGUGUGGGGCGGAUCGGUGGUGGAGGUGGUGGUGGUGCACGCGCGGAGGAGUCCGCGGUCGCUGAAGGAGACGAGGUGACCGCGUCGGUCGUGGCGGCUGGAUCGGGCGCUGGCGGGGUCUUACGGGCCUCAUCCACGUCGGCCUGGGUGAGGUCGAUAUGCUUGGUGAGGUGCUUGAGUUCGUUGGAGACUUGGUUGUUGUAGGAGAGCUGUGCUUGGUGGCGCUAGUCGGCAGUUUUCUGGUUCGCGUCGAGACGGCGGAUGACCGACUCGAGCAGACUCUGCAGCUUGUCGGUCGUCUCCGACAUGGCGUCGAGCACCUGACAAGUCUGGGCCGAGGAUUUGGAGGGUGGCGCCGUGGUCUUGCUCCAAUUCAACCGAACCCCGAGUAGGAUUUUGUGCGAACUCGCCGGAGCGGCUCGCACCUAACCCGGUGGAUGUUACCGGCGAUCGAGAGGGUGUGAGAUCAGCAACAACGGCGAGGUAGUGGGAUUUUUUUGGCUCUAAAUACCAGAUUGUCACAACCCAGAGAAGAGGGGAGAUCGAGAUGAGAAAGAGGAUCGAGAUGCAGAGUAGGUGAGAGGAGAGCUUGGAGAAGGGGAAAGGAGAAUCGAGAUCUUUUCCAUUUCAUGCUCAGCGUCUCAUCCACGGUACACUAUGUAGCCGCCCACUUGGGCCCUCUCAUACCCACACACGACCUCAGGCCCGAUACACACUUGCUUACAUGGCCUCUGGCCCAACACGUCUAGCUAGCUCCGUUGCAGUUCAGUUAACUGAACUGCACUUUCAGUCCGCUGCGGAUGUAUCAUGUGCAGGCGUGACAUUAGAGCAGAUCUUUAGGGUUCGGGCGCAAGAUAUUCCAGGCACCAGUCGGCCUUGGAGGCAGCUCUUCCUGAGUGAUGACGCUAGGGCCUUUCCAGUCAGGCAUAAUUCUAUACAGAAUUUGGCAUCUGCAACACAGAUUGCAGAUAUGAUUCAACGCUCUGCUUCAGCAACAGCGAAUAUUCGACACAUUCAAGCCUUGUUGAAGGCAGCUAUGGUGCAUAGUUCAGCUGUCACAUAGUCCGACAAUCAGAUUCUCUCCAAGUCAGCUCGGGUUGAAACCAUCUAGUCGUCCCACAACCCGCAUGGAGCUCGGAGGCCAGUAGCAUCUCCACUUCAUCGAGGAGAAGCUCGCCCACUCACUCUUGAUGCACCGCCAUGUUGUGGGGACCUGACUCUACCACCACGUGAUGAUCAGUAUUAUGGAUGAGUAACUCCUCCUUGACGCAAUCCAUAUUCGCCUCGGUAAUAUGAUGAUGCGUUUGUAACACCCCGGACACACCCGCUGGUUACUGGUUGUUACUGCCGGCGAGAUCUAGACUGGCCCCAUAGAUCAAUACUAGUCUUUCCUGCGUACUAUGUCCUCACUUGUGUAGCAUCUCCACCUCAUCGAGGCGAAGCUCGCCCACUCAGGCGCGAUGCACCACCAUGUUGUGGGACUUGACUCUUUCAGGACGUGAUGAUCGGUAUUAUGUCCGAGUGACUCCUCGACGCAAUCCAUAUUUGCCUCGGCAAUAUGAUGACGUGCCUGUAACACCCCGGACACACCCGUCGAUUACUAGUCGUUACUACUGAUGCGAUCUAGACUGGCCGCACAAAUCAACACUAGCUUUCCUGCGCACUUUGUCCUCACACGCCCGCACCUGGGACCAACUUCACAGUCGGUCACCCAUCUUGAAAUUACUCCAAGCUGAGCACACUUAACUUUGGAGUUCUUUUUUAAAUGAGCUCCUGGAAAAGAAGGGAUUCUUUAUUGAUAUGAGCAGUCUAUCAUCCCUAUUAAGCCGGGUUCUCACAGUGCCCUACCAUGGUGAUGAUCGGAGGCGGGAACUUUCACCAUUUCAGCGCGAUGAUCAGUAUCGUCGCAGGUGUGGAGAUUCUCUGUGUGGUCGUGGCGAUCGCCCUUAGGAUGAUCGUGAUCACUUGGUAUUGUCCCGAAUGAAUCAAGGUGGGGAAGAUAGGGGGGAGUUUGAAUAUGUAAGGGGUUAUCCGAGUGAAUGUGGUUCCUAGGGUCCUCUCUAUUUCAGUCGGUACAUUUGUUCAACUACAAUCCCGACACAAUUCUAGAUGGCCCAAGGAAAAAGUAAGUUCAGUGGAAAUUCCAAACCAGAAACAUGGCAUGAUGAUUACCGCAUUGCGGUCCAGAUUGGUGGCAACAAUGAUGAAGUGGCCAUGAAAUACUUGCGUUGAGAUUGAAGGGAUCUGCCUCGGGUGGCGUCGGACCACCCGAGGGGCUUGGUCGGUGGCGGCCCCAUCGCGUAGAACGUGCGUAGGGUGAGUUUUUGAUUUCCGCAUGUUUCCACUGUUGAAAAGAUCAUGUUGAUGGUGAAUGAUUGGGAGGGAUGGUGGGUUGACGAAGAUCAAGCUUUUUUUAUGGUGUAGCACCCCGGCUCAGAGCAACCUGUUUACCUUGCAAUGCCAGCCCAGAGAUCUAGUCUUCUGGAAACACACAACAACUUGGUACAGAAAACAACCACUUUAUUGAUGCUAUCGGAAACAUAGGUUUGAUAUUACAUCAGAUAGCAAGGCCAAGCGGCACGCACGGUGCGGCUGAACAGUAUGUAUAUUAUUUAAUGAGCAUGAAGGGUGCCUCGAUCACGACAACUACGCGGCAGUGGAACAAUGACGAAGCGGAACUCCAUAGCACAGGGACACCGAUGUGGACACGACCUAGACAUGGAAAGCCCUCCGAUCCGGCAAGACUUUCCUGAAAGCUGGCAUGACACGCCAGGUCAGUACAUUGAAUGUACUUGCAAGCUCACAACAAGUAAAAUCAUAAUGACAAACAAUAACAUGACAAUUAAGCAGGUUAAAUGCAAGGCUACAAUAUACUACUCAUGAAGUGAACAUGCUUGUGCACCGAGUCCCUCGGACUCCCUUACCAUACGGGUUACCUUGUAACUGUUGGAAAUAUGCCCUAGAGGCAAUAAUAAAUGGUUAUUAUUAUAUUUCUUUGUUCAUGGUAAUUGUCUGUUAUUCAUGCUAUAAUUGUAUUGUCCGGAAAUCGUAAUACAUGUGUGAAUACAUAGACCACAACGUGUCCCUAGUAAGCCUCUAGUUGACUAGCUCGUUGAUCAACUGAUAGUCAUGGUUUCCUGACUAUGGACAUUGGAUGUCAUUGAUAACGGGAUCACAUCAUUAGGAGAAUGAUGUGAUGGACAAGACCCAAUCCUAAGCAUAGCAUAAAAGAUCGUGUAGUUUCGUUUGCUAGAGCUUUUCCAAUGUCAAGUAUCUUUUCCUUAGACCAUGAGAUCGUGCAACUCCCGGAUAACGUAGGAGUGCUUUGGGUGUGCCAAACGUCACAACGUAACUGGGUGACUAUAAAGGUGCACUACGGGUAUCUCCGAAAGUGUCUGUUGGGUUGGCACGGAUCGAGACUGGGAUUUGUCACUCCGUGUGACGGAGAGGUAUCUCUGGGCCCACUCGGUAAUGCAUCAUCAUAAUGAGCUCUAUGUGACUAAGGCGUUAGUCACGGGAUCAUGCAUUGCGGUACGAGUAAAGAGACUUGCCGGUAACGAGAUUGAACAAGGUAUUGGGAUACCGACGAUCGAAUCUCGGGCAAGUAACAUACCGAUUGACAAAGGGAAUUGUAUACGGGAUUGAUUGAAUCCUCGACAUCGUGGUUCAUCUGAUGAGAUCAUCGUGGAACAUGUGGGAGCCAACAUGGGUAUCCAGAUCCCGCUGUUGGUUAUUGACCGGAGAGGCGUCUCGGUCAUGUCUGCAUGUCUCCCGAACCCGUAGGGUCUACACACUUAAGGUUCGGUGACGCUAGGGUUGUAGAGAUAUGUGUAUGCGGAAACCCGAAAGUUGUUCGGAGUCCCGGAUGAGAUCCCGGACGUCACGAGAGGUUCCGGAAUGGUCCGGAGGUGAAGAAUUAUAUAUAGGAAGUCAAGUUUCGGCCACCGGGAAAGUUUCGGGGGUUACCGGUAUUGUACCGGGACCACCGGAAGGGUCCCGGGGGUCCACCGGGUGGGGCCACCUAUCCCGGAGGGCCCCGUGGGCUGAAGUGGGAAGGGAACCAGCCCCUAGUGGGCUGGGCGCCCCCCAUGGGCCUUUCCCCCUGCGCCUAGGGUUGCAAACCCUAGGGUGGGGGGUUUCCCACUUGCCUUGUGGGGCAAGGCACCCCCCUGGCCGCCGCCCCUUGCCCUAGAUGGGCUUUGGCCACCGCCCCCCCUCCCAGGGGGCCUAUAUAAAGGGGGGGGGGGGAGGGAGGGCAGAAACACAACAGCCUUGGGCGCCUCCCUCUCCCCCUGCUACACCUCUCCGUCUCGCAGAAGCUCGGCGAAGCCCUGCCGAGACCCGCUACAUCCACCACCACGCCGUCGUGCUGCUGGAUCUCCAUCAACCUCUCCUUCCCCCUUUCUGGAUCAAGAAGGAGGAGACGUCGCUGCACCGUACGUGUGUUGAACGCGGAGGUGCCGUCCGUUCGGCACUCGGUCAUCGGUGAUUUGGAUCACGGCGAGUACGACUCCGUCAUCCACGUUCAUUGGAACGCUUCCGCUCGCGAUCUACAAGGGUAUGUAGAUGCACUCCUUUCCCCUCGUUGCUAGUACACUCCAUAGAUGCAUCUUGGUGAGCGUAGGAAAAUUUUAAAAUUAUGCUACAAUUCCCAACAGUGGAAUCAUGAGCCAGGCCUAUGCGUAGUUACUAUGCACGAGUAGAACACAAAGCAGUUGUGGGCGUUGAGUUUGCCAAUUCUUCUUGCCGCUACUAGUCUUUUCUUGUUUCGGCGGUAUUGUAGGAUGAAGCGGCCCGGACCGACCUUACACGUACGCUUACGUGAGACAGGUUCCACCGACUGACAUGCACUAGUUGCAUAAGGUGGCUAGCGGGUGUCUGUCUCUCCUACUUUAGUCGGAACUGAUUCGAUGAAAAGGGUCCUUAUGAAGGGUAAAUAGAAAUUGGCAAAUCACGUUGUGGUCAUACGUAGGUAAGAAACGUUCUUGCUAGAAACCUACAAACCACGUAAAAACUUGCAACAACAAUUAGAGGACGUCUAACUUGUUUUUGCAGCAAGUGCUAUGUGAUGUGAUAUGGCCAGAAGAUGUGAUGAAUGAUAUAUGUGAUGUAUGAGAUGAUCAUAUUCUUGUAAUAGGAAUCACGACUUGCAUGUCGAUGAGUAUGACAACCGGCAGGAGCCAUAGGAGUUGUCUUUGUUAUUUUGUAUGACCUGCGUGUCAUUGAAUAACGCCAUGUAAUUACUUUACUUUGUUGCUAAACGCGUUAGCCAUAGAAGUAGAAGUAAUCAUUGGCGUGACGACUUCAUGAAGACACAAUGAUGGAGAUCAUGGUGUCAUGCCGGUGACGAAGAUGAUCAUGGUGCCCCGAAGAUGGAGAUCAAAGGAGCAUAAUGAUAUUGGCCAUAUCAUGUCACUAUUUGAUUACAUGUGAUGUUUAUCAUGUUUUUGCAUCUUAUUUGCUUAGAACGACGGUAGUAAGUAAGAUGAUCCCUUAUAAUAAUUUCAAGAAAGUGUUCACCCUAACUGUGCACCGUUGCAAAGGUUCGUUGUUUCGAAGCACCACGUGAUGAUCGGGUGUGAUAGAUUCUAACGUUCGAAUACAACGGGUGUUGACGAGCCUAGCAUGUACAGACAUGGCCUCGGAACACACGCAAUACACUUAGGUUGACUUGACGAGCCUAGCAUGUACAGACAUGGCCUCGGAACACGGAGGACCGAAAGGUCGAGCAUGAGUCGUAUAGAAGAUACGAUCAACAUGGAGAUGUUCACCGAUCUUGACUAGUCCGUCUCACGUGAUGAUCGGACACGGCCUAGUUAAACUCGGAUCAUGUUUCACUUAGAUGACUAGAGGGAUGUCUGUCUGAGUGGGAGUUCAUUGAAUAAUUUGAUUAGAUGAACUUAAUUAUCAUGAACUUAGUCUAAAAUCUUUACACUAUGUCUUGUAGAUCAAAUGGCCAACGUUGUCCUCAAUUUCAACGCGUUCCUAGAGAAAACCAAGCUGAAAGAUGAUGACAGCAACUAUACGGACUGGGUCCGGAACCUGAGGCUCAUCCUCAUAGUAGCCAAGAAAGAUUAUGUCUUAGAAGCACCGCUAGGUGAUGCACCAAUCCCAGAGAACCAAGACGUUAUGAACGCUUGGCAGCAGCGUGCUGAUGAUUACUCCCUCGUUCAGUGCGGCAUGCUUUACAGCUUAGAACCGGGUCUCCAAAAGCGUUUUGAGAAACAUGGAGCAUAUGAGAUGUUCGAGGAGCUGAAAUUGGUUUUCCAAGCUCAUGCCCGGGUCGAGAGAUAUGAUGUCUCCGACAAGUUCUUCAGCUGUAAAAUGGAGGAGAAUAGUUCUGUAAGUGAGCACAUACUCAGAAUGUCUGGGUUGCACAACCGCUUGACUCAGCUGGGAGUUAAUCUCCCGGAUGACGCGGUCAUUGACAGAAUCCUUCAGUCGCUUCCACCUAGCUUCAAGAGCUUUGUGAUGAACUACAAUAUGCAGGGGAUGGAAAAGACCAUUCCUGAGGUAUAUUCGAUGCUGAAAUCAGCGGAGGUAGAAAUCAGAAAAGAACAUCAAGUGUUGAUGGUGAAUAAAACCACUAAGUUCAAGAAGGGCAAGGGUAAGAAGAACUUCAAGAAGGACGGCAAGGGAGUUGCCGCGCCCGGUAAGCCAGUUGCCGGGAAGAAGUCAAAGAAUGGACCCAAGCCUGAGACUGAGUGCUUUUAUUGCAAGGGAAGUGGUCACUGGAAGCGAAACUGCCCCAAAUACUUAGCGGACAAGAAGAAGGCCGGUAACACCAAAGGUAUAUGUGAUAUACAUGUAAUUGAUGUGUACCUUACCAGUACUCGUAGUAGCUCCUGGGUAUUUGAUACCGGUGCGGUUGCUCAUAUUUGUAACUCAAAACAGGAACUACGGAAUAAAUGGAGACUGGCGAAGGACGAGGUGACGAUGCGCGUCGGGAAUGGUUCCAAGGUCGAUGUGAUCGCCAUCGGCACGCUACCUCUGCAUCUCCCUACGGGAUUAGUUUUAAACCUCAAUAAUUGUUAUUUAGUGCCAGCUUUGAGCAUGAACAUUGUAUCUGGAUCUCGUUUAAUUCGAGAUGGCUACUCAUUUAAAUCCGAGAAUAAUGGUUGUUCUAUUUAUUUGAGAGAUAUGUUUUAUGGUCAUGCCCCGCUGGUCAAUGGUUUAUUUUUGAUGAAUCUCGAACGUGAUGUUACACAUGUUCAUAGUGUGAAUACGAAAAGAUGUAAAGUUGAUAACGAUAGUCCCACAUACUUGUGGCACUGCCGCCUUGGUCACAUUGGUGUCAAGCGCAUGAAGAAGCUCCAUGCAGAUGGACUUUUGGAGUCUCUUGAUUACGAAUCAUUUGACACGUGCGAACCAUGCCUCAUGGGUAAGAUGACCAAGACUCCGUUCUCCGGAACAAUGGAGCGAGCAACCAACUUAUUGGAAAUCAUACAUACCGAUGUGUGUGGUCCAAUGAGUGUCGAGGCUCGCGGAGGAUAUCGUUAUGUUCUCACUCUCACUGAUGAUUUAAGUAGAUAUGGGUAUGUCUACCUAAUGAAACACAAGUCUGAAACCUUUGAAAAGUUCAAGGAAUUUCAGAGUGAGGUUGAGAAUCAACGUGACAGGAGAAUAAAAUUCUUACGAUCAGAUCAUGGUGGAGAAUAUUUAAGUCACGAGUUUGGUGCACACUUAAGGAAAUGUGGAAUAGUUUCACAACUCACGCCGCCUGGAACACCUCAGAGGAAUGGUGUGUCCGAACGUCGUAAUCGCACUCUAUUGGAUAUGGUGCGAUCUAUGAUGUCUCUUACCGAUUUACCGCUCUCAUUUUGGGGUUAUGCUUUAGAGACUGCCGCAUUCACUUUAAAUAGGGCUCCGUCGAAAUCCGUUGAGACGACACCGUAUGAAUUAUGGUUUGGGAAGAAACCUAAGCUGUCGUUUCUAAAAGUUUGGGGAUGCGAUGCUUAUGUCAAGAAACUUCAACCUGAAAAGCUCGAACCCAAAUCGGAAAAAUGCGUCUUCAUAGGAUACCCUAAGGAAACUAUUGGGUAUACCUUCUACCUCAGAUCCGAAGGCAAGAUCUUCGUUGCCAAGAACGGGUCCUUUCUGGAGAAGGAGUUUCUCUCGAAAGAAUUGAGUGGGAGGAAAGUGGAACUUGAUGAGGUGAUAGUCACCCCUCCCGAACCGGAAAGUAGCGCAGCGCGGGAAAUUGUUCCUGUGGUGCCUACACCGACUGGGGAGGAAGUUAAUGAUGAUGAUCAUGAUGCUUCGGAUCAAGUUACUACUGAACUUCGUAGGUCCACAAGGACACGUUCCGCACCAGAGUGGUACGGCAACCCUGUCCUGGAAAUCAUGUUGUUAGACAACGGUGAACCUUCGAACUAUGAAGAAGCGAUGGCGGGACCGGAUUCCGACAAAUGGCUAGAAGCCAUGAAAUCCGAGAUAGGAUCCAUGUAUGAAAACGAAGUAUGGACUUUGACUGACUUGCCCGAUGAGCGGCGAGCCAUAGAAAACAAAUGGAUCUUUAAGAAGAAGACAGACGCGGAUGGUAAUGUGACCAUCUACAAAGCUCGACUUGUCGCUAAGGGUUAUCGACAAGUUCAAGGGGUUGACUACGAUGAGACUUUCUCACCCGUAGCGAAGCUGAAGUCCGUCCGAAUCAUGUUAGCAAUUGCCGCAUACUAUGAUUAUGAGAUAUGGCAGAUGGACGUCAAAACGGCAUUCCUUAACGGCUUCCUUAAGGAAGAGUUGUAUAUGAUGCAGCCGGAAGGUUUUGUCGAUCCUAAGAAUGCUAACAAAGUAUGAAAGCUCCAGCGCUCAAUCUAUGGGCUGGUGCAAGCAUCUCGGAGUUGGAACAUUCGCUUUGAUGAGAUGAUCAAAGCGUUUGGGUUUACACAGACUUAUGGAGAAGCCUGUGUUUACAAGAAAGUGAGUGGGAGCUCUGUAGCAUUUCUCAUAUUAUAUGUGGAUGACAUACUGUUGAUGGGAAAUGAUAUAGAAUUCUUGGAGAGUAUAAAGGCCUAUUUGAAUAUGUGUUUUUCAAUGAAGGACCUUGGAGAAGCUGCUUAUAUAUUAGGCAUCAAGAUCUAUAGAGAUAGAUCAAGACGCCUCAUUGGUCUUUCACAGAGUACAUACCUUGACAAGAUAUUGAAGAAGUUCAGUAUGGAUCAGUCCAAGAAGGGGUUCUUGCCUGUAUUGCAAGGUGUGCAAUUGAGCACGGCUCAAUGCCCGACCAUGGCAGAAGGUAUAGAAAAGAUGAGUGUCAUCCCCUAUGCCUCGGCCAUAGGGUCUAUUAUGUAUGCCAUGCUGUGUACCAGACCUGAUGUAAACCUUGCCGUAAGUUUGGUAGGAAGGUACCAAAGUAAUCCCGGCAUGGAACACUGGACAGCGGUCAAGAAUAUCCUGAAGUACCUGAAGAGGACUAAGGAUAUGUUUCUCGUUUAUGGAGGUGACGAAGAGCUCGUCGUAAAGGGUUACGUCGACGCUAGCUUCGACACAGAUCUGGAUGACUCGAAGUCACAAACCGGAUACGUGUAUAUUUUGAAUGGAGGAGCAGUAAGCUGGUGCAGUUGCAAGCAAAGCGUCGUGGCGGGAUCUACAUGUGAAGCGGAGUACAUGGCAGCCUCGGAGGCAGCACAGGAAGCAGUCUGGAUGAAGGAGUUCAUUACCGACCUAGGGGUGAUUCCCAAUGCGUCGGGCCCGAUGGCUCUCUUCUGUGACAACACUGGAGCUAUUGCCCUUGCGAAGGAGCCCAGGUUUCACAGGAAGACCAGGCAUAUCAAGCGUCGCUUCAACUCCAUUCGUGAAAGUGUUCAAAAUGGAGACAUAGAUAUUUGUAAAGUACAUACGACCUGAAUGUAGCAGAUCCGUUGACUAAACCUCUCCCUAGGGCAAAACAUGAUCAACACCAGGACGCAAUGGGUGUUCGAUUCAUCACAAUGUAACUAGAUUAUUGACUCUAGUGCAAGUGGGAGAUUGUUGGAAAUAUGCCCUAGAGGCAAUAAUAAAUGGUUAUUAUUAUAUUUCUUUGUUCAUGGUAAUUGUCUGUUAUUCAUGCUAUAAUUGUAUUGUCCGGAAAUCGUAAUACAUGUGUGAAUACAUAGACCACAACGUGUCCCUAGUAAGCCUCUAGUUGACUAGCUCGUUGAUCAACUGAUAGUCAUGGUUUCCUGACUAUGGACAUUGGAUGUCAUUGAUAACGGGAUCACAUCAUUAGGAGAAUGAUGUGAUGGACAAGACCCAAUCCUAAGCAUAGCAUAAAAGAUCGUGUAGUUUCGUUUGCUAGAGCUUUUCCAAUGUCAAGUAUCUUUUCCUUAGACCAUGAGAUCGUGCAACUCCCGGAUAACGUAGGAGUGCUUUGGGUGUGCCAAACGUCACAACGUAACUGGCUGACUAUAAAGGUGCACUACGGGUAUCUCCGAAAGUGUCUGUUGGGUUGGCACGGAUCGAGACUGGGAUUUGUCACUCCGUGUGACGGAGAGGUAUCUCUGGGCCCACUCGGUAAUGCAUCAUCAUAAUGAGCUCUAUGUGACUAAGGCGUUAGUCACGGGAUCAUGCAUUGCGGUACGAGUAAAGAGACUUGCCGGUAACGAGAUUGAACAAGGUAUUGGGAUACCGACGAUCGAAUCUCGGGCAAGUAACAUACCGAUUGACAAAGGGAAUUGUAUACGGGAUUGAUUGAAUCCUCGACAUCGUGGUUCAUCUGAUGAGAUCAUCGUGGAACAUGUGGGAGCCAACAUGGGUAUCCAGAUCCCGCUGUUGGUUAUUGACCGGAGAGGCGUCUCGGUCAUGUCUGCAUGUCUCCCGAACCCGUAGGGUCUACACACUUAAGGUUCGGUGACGCUAGGGUUGUAGAGAUAUGUGUAUGCGGAAACCCGAAAGUUGUUCGGAGUCCCGGAUGAGAUCCCGGACGUCACGAGAGGUUCCGGAAUGGUCCGGAGGUGAAGAAUUAUAUAUAGGAAGUCAAGUUUCGGCCACCGGGAAAGUUUCGGGGGUUACCGGUAUUGUACUGGGACCACCGGAAGGGUCCCGGGGGUCCACCGGGUGGGGCCACCUAUCUCGGAGGGCCCCGUGGGCUGAAGUGGGAAGGGAACCAGCCCCUAGUGGGCUGGGCGCCCCCCCAUGGGCCUUUCCCCCUGCGCCUAGGGUUGCAAACCCUAGGGUGGGGGGUUUCCCACUUGCCUUGGGGGGCAAGGCACCCCCCUGGCCGCCGCCCCUUGCCCUAGAUGGGCUUUGGCCGCCGCCCCCCCUCCCAGGGGGCCUAUAUAAAGGGGGGGGAGGGAGGGCAGCAACACAACAGCCUUGGGCGCCUCCCUCUCCCCCUGCUACACCUCUCUGUCUCGCAGAAGCUCGGCGAAGCCCUGCCGAGACCCGCUACAUCCACCACCACGCCGUCGUGCUGCUGGAUCUCCAUCAACCUCUCCUUCCCCCUUGCUGGAUCAAGAAGGAGGAGACGUCGCUGCACCGUACGUGUGUUGAACGCGGAGGUGCCGUCCGUUCGGCACUCGGUCAUCGGUGAUUUGGAUCACGACGAGUACGACUCCGUCAUCCACGUUCAUUGGAACGCUUCCGCUCGUGAUCUACAAGGGUAUGUAGAUGCACUCCUUUCCCCUCGUUGCUAGUACACUCCAUAGAUCCAUCUUGGUGAGUGUAGGAAAAUUUUAAAAUUAUGCUACGAUUCCCAACAGUAACCAACAUCAUCAAUACGGUGAUCACUCCCGGAUCACAAAGGAAACCAACUCUUUGGUUCCAACAACAACCAUCUUCAUGGUUUCAACAAUCUCAUCCCAUAACUAGUGCCAACCAUAUAACUUCAGUGUGCAAGAUUAAAUUAUUUAUGUUGAUCCAUGGUGUGACCUACUACGAACUGUGUCCAUAACCGAGGAUGUGCCUAUCGAUAGAUUUAACACACACUCUGCAGAGGUUAGCACACUGUACCCACACCACGAAAUCCAUGGCCUCGAACUCCCAUUCGGGUGGACCAACGGCAUUCCGACAGAACCAACCCAUUGCCAUGACACUCUCCCGGCCACUCCGAUCAACUCCCCUUUGGGCUAAAUCUUGGGUGGCCCCGAUGUCAACUCAUGACAUCCAACAACCAUCAUCAUGGCAAAACAUAAAGGUCCCAAAUGGGGACAAGGUACGAUAACAACAACGGGCACACAAGGUUAUGUCUGCUUACCAGGCCAGGGUACCGCAUGCCCAUAACCUUCCCUCGUUGGAGGCACCGACCAGAGGCAUGACAACAAACCGAAUAAGGGCCUUCCCAUAAAGGCAAAUGUGGUUGCACUGGGAAGCUCGAUUCGGUGGCACCAUGACUCGAUCAACAUUAUGUUCAAGUUGAGUUAUCAUCAGGUUUAACUUGAAAUAAAAGAACUCGAGUCAUAGUAUGCCAUGAACAUGCAACUAUAUCCACAUAUCACUGAAAUGAAACGGAUCAACAUCAUAGAAUCAUUAAGCAUGCACUACUAAUCAUUUAGAGACACUGGUUUUACUCAAUCAUUUUUAGUUAUGACAUUAGCAUGGUGAAAAUAAUAAACCAUUAUAUGAGAAUAAUACCGAUCAUUACCAACCAUAGCCAUGCUAUCAGAAUAACACUACUGCAUCAAACUAGUCCAUGCACUCAAGUACUACAACAAGCUAAGCAAUUCAAGCAUAACAAAUGAAAUAACAUGAGCAAUAUUAUUUAAAUGAUUUAAUGCAUGAAAUAAGCCAUAUUCAAGUUGGAAAAUCAUAGUUAUUGAAAUGACACAAUGCAAAUAUUUAUCGUGGCUUGCCUUAGCACAGAGGAGGGUCACACUCCUCCUGGUUCUCCUCAAGGCAAGUUUCUCCUGCUGAAAAUAAUUAAAAAUAGCAAAAGAAAAUAUCAAGAACCAUUCUGAAAUUCACCAGAAAUUCUCGACAGCAAGGAAAAAUCUCAAAUUUGGUAUGCUGCUAGAAUAUUUCAAUACAAAACCAAUGCAAAAAGAAUCAACUCAUUUGGACUUGUAGAUUAGGAGUUAGAGCUGGUCAAAGUUGCUGGUCAAAUAUGAUUUAAAUUAGAUUUAAAUAAAUCGGGGGGGGGGGGUGGCGUCGAAGGCGUAUUUCAGAGAAUACGCUCCACUCAUACCGCUUCAGGCGCGAGUGGAGAGGCUGACAGCAGGCCCUGCUCGUCGGGUUUUCAGAGAGGGGGAAGAGAAACAGAGGAGGGGCGAUGGUCGCCGGUGGGCACGCCGACGAGGAGGGCUUGGCGGCCGAUCUGAGAGGGAGGGAUGGAAAGAGGAGACUCAGGCGCACCUAUUCGUACCCGUAGCAAGGCAAGAGGUGGUCGGAGUUGCUCGGAAACAACGUCUCCAGCGGCGGCUGCGGUGCGGUUCGCCGGAGAUGAAGAAGACGGCGAGGGCUAGCAAGUCCAGGGGUCCAGAGGGGUCGGCUAGCACCAGUGAGUCACCAGGGAGUCGCCGGAGAAGAGGGUCGAGCUCGAGGGGCACUGGAGAGGUGGGGGCGAUAGGAGGGGAUCGCCGGCGAGCUCGGGAAGGGAACGACGGCCAGAGGCCUGCCAUGCCGGGCUACGACUAUCUACGGUGUUUGUGGAGGUUGAGCGAGUGUGGUGGGAUGCUCGGAGAGGCGAGGGAGGGCUCUAUAUAUAGGCGGAGGAGAGCUCUGGAAGCAGCGCACGACGACAAGGGGGUUAACAUUUGAGAAAGCAUAGGCUUUCCUACACCCCCUUAUCUAGCCACUCAUUUUUGCAUCACGAUUCGUGCGAGUACAUUUGUCUUUUUUGUUUCUCCCAUAUAGAACAACAUAUGAACUUCAAACUUGGCAGCUCAACAAAACAUUCUUACUAGAAUGUGGGAAAAAACUUUUAGAAUUUUUCGUGCAAUAUAAAUACUAAAAAGUAAUUUUUUAAUACAAAAAAUUUAAUUUCGUAUAUUUAUGUUUAACGAAAAAAUCUGAAAGUUUUUUUCUCACAUUCUCGUUAGAACGUUUUGGUGUCUUGCAAAGUUUGAAGUUCAUAUGUUGUUUUAUUUUGAAGAAACAAAAAAGAGAAAAUAUGAUGUACAAAGUUAGUGGUCUAGCACGGAUCUUAAAGCAAUGUUGGAGGGUAAGGAUAAGGGGUGUCCAGAAACCUGAGCUGUAAAAAUCCGCGUCCACGACAAGGGGCAUCAGUGAGAGGAGAGGGCGCCAGGGCUCACGCGACAACUGUUGGAGCUCGAGGACGAGCACAGGGCACACGUUAGGGGCCUGACUCGAGCACGGGGGCACUGUGCUCUCUGGCGCGGAGUGCUCGUGAUCGCUUCGGCUAUGUCGAAUUCGUCUUCCAGCCAUGAUACUCUGGCCUGGAAACCCUUAAUCGUGGUUGGCAUAGUCGUGUUCUCCGCCUCUGGCCACACGAUGCCACUGCCCGAUCUCCUCCGUCCUAGCUCCUGCCUUGGCUUCCGCGUGUCCUAGAGGUGCCCCGGAUGACGUUUGCGUCUCCAUCCUUGAAUCAUUCGAUCUCAAGCUACCCCCGCAUCAACACCAUGCUCCGCCAACGCCAUCACUGACGAGGACAUCACUCCGGUUCUCCCUUGUCGCGUCCGAGCAUGCAUACAAGCUCAGGGUGAGAUCCUUGACAUCCUGCCUCUCUUCCUCGUCAGCAGUAGCGGGUUGCCCCGGGGGGCUCGGUUAGGACCCGAAAGGAGGGAAUAAAUACGGGUGGGGUUGCCGGUGUAGGGGCUCAUGACAGCGCCAUCGUUCUUUGCUCACCGAAAACUGAGGUGGUGGCGGUGGCGGGACUGGCAUGAGAGGAGGAGGCGGUGGCGGCUGUGGCUUGGUAUGGGAGUACGGGACGGAGAGAUGAGUGAGAAGGGAGAGAUGGGGUUCUAUGGGACAUGAUGAUGUGGCAGAUGACUAGAGGCCGACUUGGAUGUUGACUAGUCAAAACCAGUAAAAAAGUCAAAAACCAGCCGAGGGGUCUUUUUUUGUCCGGUUUUGAAAGUUGAGGGUUGUAAACUAGAUAGUUUUCGUAGUUCACGGUUGUAUAUUAUACUUUAGUGGUAGUUCAAGGUUGUAAUAUGGACUUCUCUCUUGAGUUUUACCUCCACCGUUUGGGCAUGGACGUGGGUAAACAGCCUCAUGUGAAUCCCAUCAGGUGUUUCGGCUACGCGCUAUACCCCAUCGAGAGUACUGCCGAUAUAAUGAACUAACAGUUGCACAUGCCAACCCCUGGCGAUGAUCCGACUGCGAAGGCCCUCGAGGCUCAGCACCUAGCCCUCGACGAGGCGCAUAUCCACCUAUAGAAGGACCGUGCUCGCCUAGAAACCAGACAUGGUGAAUUGCCGAACUCCAUCGAGCACAACCCAGCGUCGGCCAAAUCACAUAAUUAUCUAACUUUCAUGGACUGAUCUUGAUUUCUUGGCACCUAAAAGGACCGGAUCGAGAUUAAUACUGGUAUAAUGAAACGACACUAACUUUCAUGGAAUGUUGCAGUUUGUUAUAGCAUUUUGUUUAACAAGCGCAAUCUUGCCCUGCCUGUUGAUCCAAGCUAUUGCAGAAUUUAACAUAUCAGUUAACUUAAAAAGUAAAAGCUCAAUUUUCCUGUAGGUGGACUGAAGUACAAAUUCUAUUACUGAUGCAGAGAGGUGACUAUUGGCAAAUGCAUUACAAGGUGAUGAUAACCAACAUUUCCGUUUGCUCUCUCAGAGGUUGUUAAUUUCCUUUCUCCUGGUCUAAAUUUGUAGUGUAUAUCUCUAUCCUAAUGUUGUCUUCAUAUAUACUACAGUUAUGAACCCCUUCAAAACUUCUAUUAUUUAUAUAAUUAUCUCAAAACAAACAACAACUUUGUUGACCAGUAAACGAACACCUAGAAGGUUAUGGUUGCUCAUGAUUUUGUACAGGAAGUUUUUUUAUUUACAGUUGAACAAAUGCCUGUUAGAGGAUCUAUUGUUUCCUGGUUAUUAUUUUAUGAAACAACUUAGUCUCCAUGGACAUGUGUAAAUAUUAUUUUUGUCAAUUUUGAACAUCGAGCAAGUACAUACUCUAAGCAUGGGCUGCAUGAGAGAAUUACUAGAGAGAUUUGGGAAAAGUUGUUCACUGAUAAUUAGGUGCUUGAUUUUUACCUAAAAAAAUGAAAGGAUCAUCUCCUUUAAGCAAUUAAAAAAUUUCAGUCAACGUGGAAGUAAUCUCACAUGAAAUUGGCGUUGUCUAAAAUCUCAUAAAAAUGAAGGGGACGAAUAGCAGGCCAUUUUUUAUUUAUAUCGCGUGUUGACAAUUAUUGUAUGUUUUUCUUUGCUUCCCACUUUCAUAAUUUAGCACGGUAGCUACUUACGUCAAUAAUAAUUGACCACGUAAUUUAGACAAUUGCCUUGUUUUCCUGUAGUGCACCAUCCGACUAAUUGAUAUGGUUCAUAGUGGAAUGAUAGCAACUAGUUAUUCUUGUUGUACACACCUUAAAUGGAAAGUUGAAACACUAGUCUAAGUAGUCAACAGUUAACUCUCCACUUUUUUGUAGUUUAAAGGUCUAUCUGUUCGGAAUGAUUCAUUAUAUAUGAGGUGCUUAGGAAGUUACAUAACCUGAAUUAAUAAAGGUAGGAUCCAAGAGAAAUGAUUUAGUCAAUGGUGCUGUGAGGACAUGUUUCACUCCCUUAUAUAUGGUACCUAAUGUGCCAACCUUGCAUGGAGUUGCUUGACCAUUGGUUUCAUGAAAUCAAUGGCACUACCAAGCAUAUUUUGUUGUUGAUUUUUUCGGUGUGUAUUUGUCUUCAUCAGAAAGGAAAAUGCCUAAUUUUCUUCUUCUUGGUUCUAAUCGAUGAACUAACUUUUGCACAGCUGAUGACCAUUUAUAUUUUAGUUAGUGCUAGAUUAUAAUCUUGCAUUUAACCUUUUGGUUUGUGAUGUUCAAUUUCACUUAAUAAGAAUAUGAACACAAAUUGUUUAAUCAUUCAAUUCAGCAGGGUUGAUGAAUAUGCUGGACUGUGGGACUUUCCCUAGACACAAGCUUUUGUGGGCUUUGCCGUGUUUUCAUGCUCAGGCAGCCACAACUCUGUCCAUAGACUGUAGUGUAAGCACGAAACUGUACUUUUUACUAUAUCGUAUUGGAACUUAUUUUGACUUGCAGUGUGUUUCACCGAAUAUUUCAUCGACGUUGUUAGUUGGAAUCAGAGAAGUUCCAAGGUCAACAAACAAACCCUUAUGCUGUAACAAACAGUUCGUUGAGACUGUGCGGACCAUAUGAAUAGUUUAGAGAGUUGUAUCAUUAACAGAGAUCAUCCAGAUGUUUCUCAGGAAAGCAGCUAGUGUAGUGUAGUACUACAAGAUAAUAUAAGUCCGCCUAUAUAAUUGAUAGGUUGAAAUUGUUGCUACAUGUGGGCUGUUUUUUUUGUUGCGGGAAAACUUCCGAACUAUUGAUACUCCCUCAAUUCCCUUAUACAAGGCCACAAACUCAAAUUACAGGUACCUAGGUAAAAUUUAAUGACUACUUUGCAAGCCAACUUUUCUUCUUGUUAACUGCGAUCAUUAAUAUGUCCGCAUGCAUGCAAGGAAGGAAUGAGAAGGAAGUAGCACAGUGUUAUUAUGACUACAAGCAUGCAAGUAUUAAACAAGUUGCUAUUACGAGAAAACAUCAUUAAAUUUUGCCUCGGUUACGGUUAGUGGCCUUGUAUAGAUGCAAAAUGUAUUUUUCAUAGUGGCCUUGUAUAAGGGAAUGGGGGGAGUAUUAAAUCAUGGUAGUAUAACAAACACUAGAAAUAAUAAAAAUUACAUCUAGAUCCGUAGGCGACCAAGCGACAACUACAUGCACUGAAACGAGCCAAAGGCACACCGCUGUCAUUGACCCUCCCUUGCCGGAGACGGGCAAACUUGCUGAAAUAGACAGUCGAGAAGUCGUCGUGUUUAGUCCUCAUAGGACCAGCACACCAGAACAGUAACAACCACCGAUGAAAAGAUGCGUAGAUCGGAAGGAUCCAACAUGAAGAUAAAACGAACGAAGGCCGGACCCGAAUAGAUCCAUCAAAGACAAUCAUCAGACGAAUCCUGUGAGAUACGCCGGAGACCUCCACACACAUUCCGACAAUCGAAAGGGGCCAGGUAGGGAGAAAAUUAUUCCAUGUUCAAGGAGCCCCCACCGUCUAGCCUUCCUUAACAGGACAGAAACUCGAACAAAACGGAAAGAACCAUCUAAAAAUGGAGCCAUCCCAUGACAAGGGCAGAGAUCCACCGCGCCCUCAUGGUUCUAAGGCCAACGGAGACUAGACGGACGGACGGACGGACGAGAGCAUCAAUUGGUGAACCUGCUUCAUUUAGUACAGAACAGAACUUGUUUUUCUUUUUUGAGGGGAAAUCAACUUGGUUACUAUGUACGUGUCAUAAUUAUGCUACUUCAUCAAAUGAUCAAAGUACAUUAGCGAUAGCUGGCUCAACUGGUUCCCGGGUUGCGUACGGCUUCUUCUUUUUUUCUUUUUGAGGGUGGUUGCGUACGGCUUCAGACUGUUGAUUCCUUGGUUGGAGACCUCGCACGCGCAGUGCUCGUUAUGCGAAAUCCAUCCGUUCCAGCAUAGCCGGUGGGCCGAAGACGCGAAGACCAGGGCGCUUAGCCACCGGUGGGCCGAAGACGCGAAGACCAGGGCGCUUAGCCACCGGUGGGCCGAAGACGAGCGCACCGCUGACGCUGCCUGCCAGUAGUAUUUUAGUACCACACCGCUCGUUUCGGUAGACACCUCGCGGGUUAAAUAGCGAGACGUUCAACCAUGUAUCGCCGACGACGCAAAGCUAGCACUAGCUAUGCUGGCCUGUCGAGGCAAAAAGCGGUCGUGACGUACUUCUGGCCGGGUUUGGCCCAGCAGCCUGUAACCCUAGGUCGCUGUUAACUCGUGCAUGUUGGGGGCUAGAAGUACGGAGCGAUGUAAGUCUUUUUUGCAUCUUGAUGCCGUUUUUCAUUUACCUUGGUUCAUUCUAUUUGAGUCGACGAAAAUCUUUUCUCUCUUACUUAUAUAGUAUUCGUGUGAGCUGCAAAUUUCCCCUUUCACACGGACUAGUGUAAAUAAAGAUUUUUAUUUUUCCUCUUCGUUCCACUCCGACCGGCACCAAACCAUUUAUUUCCUUCCGCUUGUUCUAACUCCGAUUCAUUAUUUAUUUGCUCAAAAGAUUGUGUGUGUUAGGCGCCAAAAGUAUAUGGUGACGUCGUCUUUUCUCUAGCAUGUAAGAAACAAAUCUGCCCGGAGUACUUCUCUCCACUCCUUCCCUCCCUCCAUAGGGCCAAGUUGGUCCUAAACCGCAGAGUCAUUUUUCUGUUACACGAAAAGCUGCAAUAUGACGUUCUAUCUCAUACCCUCUUGGACGGGACAUCUAUGUUGGUGUAAUGCCACACACUUCAAUGGACAAAUGUAUGGAAUGUCAUGCCCCUUAUUCCCGCUUCGCUAUAGUGGUCAGGCAGUGCGAUGCCAGGACUUUUUUAAAAUUGUUUUUGCAUCGUCAUGCUGUUUUUAGUGAUUCUAUUUGGAUCAAUGCACAUCUUUUCUCCUCUUACUUAUAAACUCGUCGUGUGAGUUAGGAUCGAUUCGGGCAGAUGCAAACUUUUCCCUUUCACAUAGACUAAUGUAAAAAAAAUUCCUCUUCAUUCCACUCGGACAGAAAUGGAACCAUUUAUUCCUAUCCCCCGUACUAACUCCGACUCAUUUUUUCUUUGCUCACAAGCUCGUGUGUGUUGGGCGCCAAACAUAUGGGGUGACGUCGUCUUUUCUCUAGCCUGAAAGAAACGAACCUGCCCGGAGUACUUCUCAACAUCCCUUCCCUCCCUCUAGAGGGCCAAGUUGCUCCAGCACCGCCGGGUCAUUUUUCUAUGACAUGAAAAAGCUGCAAUAUGUCGUUCUCACUCGCACUCUCUUCAACUGGACAUUUAUGUUGGAGUAAUGACGCAUACUUUAAUAGAUAAAUGCAUGGAGUGUCAUGUCCCUUUUUUUCGCUUCAUCGUAGUGGUCAGGCUGUGCGACGCUGGGACUAUAGAGUAAUGUAACUCUGUUUUUUCGCACCGUCUCUCCAUCAUGCUGCUUCGGCGCUGUGACACCUGAUGUAUGGAGUGUUAAGUAUUUAUUUCAUUCUGUGCCGGAGGGUUGGUUUCCUUGCUCAACUUUAUGUGCUUGGGGGCUAAAGUUUUGUAGCAACAUUAGUGUUUUCCCUCCGCUAAGACUAAUGGAUCGUUUAUUUUCCAUCCUUCGAAUGCGACGGAUGCAAUUUUUCCCUUCUGCAUGGACUAGCGUCAAAUUUAUAUUUUUUAUUUUUUGUCUUCAUUCCAAUCAAACAGACACCAAAUCAUUCAUUUCCUUCCACUCGAACUAACUCUGAAUCAAAUAUGGCUUGCUCACAAGCUCGUUUGUAUUGGGAACCAAAAGUAAGGAGUAAGGGCCUGUUCGGUACUCCUCCAGCUUCCAGAUCCGCCUAAAUCUGCGCUGGAGCUGAGCCGAACGGUUCCGCUCAGGGAAGCUAGCUUCCUGGAUCAUAGGACAGUCCACGUACAAAAAACUGGAGCGGCGUUUCUGGCGAUCCAGGAAAAAGGAAACCGAGAGUUGGCGUAAAUUACGAGUAGUGCCACCGCCAAGCAAGGUUGGAAAAAGCGGUAGGCGUAAGCGAGGCGGUUGGCCUUCGCCUAGUGCCUAGGCGGUGCUUAAGCGCCCUAAGCGCAGCCUAGGCGGUUAUAUAAUUUUUACUAUCAGGGUGUAUAUGUGGUUAUUAUAUGUAUUUUAUUAAUUUAGGGCAUAUAAAUAUGUUAACUACCAGCUACUAUGAUUGGAAUAUGGCCCUUUUGGCAUAUCAGUGCAAUAUGACAUGCCUUGUCGUUUGGGUAGACAAUUUCUUACUUGCUCUGCCUAGACUUCUGCUUAUGACCUAGGCGAGGCGUUUGGCCAUUGCCUAGCGCGGCCAUUGCCUAGCGCCUAGGCAUGUCUAAGCGCCUCCUAGGCACUGCCUUUUCCAACAAAGCCGCCAAGUGACUCGAUGGCUGCGUACCAGUUCGCUACCUUCGUUAUAUUCUCCUGAUGACGUGGAGGCAUCAGUAUUUUUCACUCUGAACUGGGCCAAGCCCAGCUACUCUCCUCCUGUGUCCGGCUGGGCCUAAGGCCACCUUAACUGUUGAGCUAGCUGGGGGAAGAUCCUAAUGGACGCUCGUUGCGUCAAGUUGCCGCUGCUUCGCACAGAGGCGAGUGAGCUAGCGAUUAAGAUGGGCCGGCCCAAUUACGAGAUUUCGCACGUGCUACAGUGUCCGUUUUUGGGAACAUUCUGGAAGGUUCCUAACCGGUUUUGGGAACCUUCUAGAAGCUUCUUGACCCGUUUUUUCACUAGUUUUUUCUGUUUCCUUUUCUUUUUUUUUCUGUUUCUUUCUUUGUUUUCUGUUUGUUUAUUUCAUUUUAGUUCCUUUUUCUUCUUUUUUUAAUUUUCUUUUUGUUCUCCCGAAUUUCAAAUUCUUUUCGAAAAUUCUAAAAAUGGUUAGAAGUUCAAAAAAUGUUCUUGUUAUUAAUAUUUAUCACAAAUACAAAAAAAUGUUCUUCAUUUUUGAAAAAAAAUGUUUGCAUAUUACAAAAAAAUGUUCGCUUUUAGAAACAAAUCCAUAGGUUCAAAAAGUUGAACUUUUCAAAUUGUGUUUAGGAGUUUAAAAUUUUUUUCCCAUUUUCAAAAUUUGUUCGCCAAUGUCCAAAAAAUGUUCAUGUUUUCAAAUUUUUUCUGAGAUUCAAAAAAUGUUUCCAUUUAUAUAAUUGUUCGCAAAUUCCAAACAUAUGUUUGUGUUUCAAUUUUUGUUCGGGAGUUUCAAAAGAAGUUCGCUUUUUAAUAAAAAGUUUGGAUUUAAAAAAAUAGUUUAUAGGUCUCAAAAAAUGUUCCCAAUUUGAAAAAAUGUAUGGAAUUUCAAAAAUGUUCAGAAAUUUUGAAAAUUGUUUGCGUUCUCAAAAAAUAUUUGUUUUAUAAAAAAGCUUGAAAUUUUUGAACCACUAAAACUCGGUUGCUACAGGAAACACAAAGUUCGUCUGCUACAGGACAUACAAAGCCCGUCUGCUACAUUAGCCUACUCUCUGCAGUGACCCGGCUCGCUAUAGUGCAUCGCUUGCUAUAUGGGCCGGCCCAAUAGGGGAGCGCUCUGUUUGACGCAGCGAGCGUCGAACAGGAGCUCCCCUAGCUGGGCUCCAGUCCGUCUGAGCAGGUUGGCCUGCUGGCACGUACGAGAAGCUGGAGCGAGCGUGCCGAAUGAUUUUUCAUCAAUCGCAAUCCAUGGAAGAAGCCACCAUCGGGAAAUAGAAGCCAGAUUUGUGGAUUUGGUGAAGCUGGAGGAGUACCGAACAUGCCCUAAGGCUGGCCUUUUUUUGCCUCUCGUGUUUUUUCUCUACUAUUUGGACCUGGAAGUAACGCAUCCGUCCGGACUACUUCUGUCCACCGCUCCUCCACCGUCAUGUCAUUUUUCUAUGUCAAGGAAAGGCUGCAACAUGUCCUUGGGUCUCGCAAUUUAUUUGAUGGAACAUCAGUGUUCGAGUAAUGCUGCCAACUUCAAUGGACAGAUUUUAUGGAGCGUCUUGUCCUUUUUUCGGCUUCUCCUCCAAAGUGGUCGGUCGGCUGUGCGGCACUUCAAGGACAUCAAACACCCAUGGGGCAAGCAGCAAGAGCCAUGCUGUGAGUGGAGCUAGAACUUCGUGUGAGCCCAUCGACCGUGGUUAGGUAAGCUCAUGACACCAAUGAUUGCAAAGUAUGCGACUAAAGGGGUUUGGUGCUCAUGACAGCAAUGAUUGCAAAGUGUGUGACCAAACGCGUUUGGUGAGACGCCCAGCACGACGGGGAUCUAGAAUCGGAGGGGCUCAGUGCUACAACCGACACAACAUAAGUUGGGACCAUAGGCGCGUAGUGUUGCAAUCGGACAUGGCGGCGAGCCAUAACAACUACAACUAGAGGUGCCCAGUGCUGCAACCGGCAUGACGACGAGUUGGAACCUACAAUGAAGCAUUUUGAUUGGAAAGUUAGAUACUUGUAUUGUUCAAUUUUAAAAUAAUUUUAUUAUUCUAGCAUUGAGAUGGGUGGGUGUGGCAACAUCUUUAUGUUCUAGUAGGAAUGUUAGAACGGAUUGUUGCCUAGACCAAGUCAUAGGCAAUUCCUUUGGGAGCAUGCCAAGGAGAUGCCCAAUAUGUAAAGGGAACCGUGAACCAAAUAUUUGUCCUGAUUAUUGGGGGAAUUGGUAUACAAUUGGAAAGUUUAUGCACACUCGGUAUGAGUGUCCAAAUAAAGAGUGAAAUGCGCCGCCGGUCCAUAAACUCGAACCCAUUGCACAUUUUAGGACAAUAACUCAUGACAUUAUCAGAUUUAGUCCACAAACUCGUUAAGUUGAUCAAAUCGGCCCGAGAGGGGAAAAAACCAGCCACGUGGAUGCCAUGUCAUCGUUCCUUGACCGCUCAUGAAUUAGCUAUUUUUAGAAGGGUCUAUUUGUAAAGUGGCUGGGUUCUUCAUCACAAACCAUGCGAAGGGCGUUCGACAAAAAAUUAAUAUGCGGCUCAAAUUGUAUGUAUUCACGUAGAAUCAUGAGAAAAAAACCCGAAGAUCCCACUUGAUUGUUUUCCAAUCACGCGAUUUGUUUCCUUCUAUUGCGCUGACUGUUGUUUGUUGCUAGAUCAUCGCGUUCCCUUCCCUCCUCAUUUGUCUUCUGUGACUUGCCGAUCAUGGCAACAUUGCUUGGCAAUGGACCACUUUAAUUGUUGGGGAACGUAGUAAUUUCAACAGUUUUCCUACGCACACGCAAGAUCAUGGUGAUGCAUAGCAACGGGAGGGGAGAGUGUUGUCUACAUACCCUCGUAGACCGUAAGCGGAAGCGUUAUGACAACGCGGUUGAUGUAGUCGUACGUCUUCACAAUCGACCGACCCUAGCACCGAAGGUACGGCACUGUAACGCCCCGGAUCCGAUGCGCCAGGUGUUCUCCAGUUAUUCGUCGUCGUUGCCAUGCCAUUUGCUUGCGUGUUGCAUUUUGCCAUGUCAUCAUCUGCAUGUGUUUCAAAACUUGCAUCCGGUCCUUUUCCUCGUUGUCCGUUUCGCGAUCCGACACUCCCACACGCGCCCGUCGCCCCCCUCAGACCUUGUUUCGUGAGCGUGAGAAAAACGUUCUCGGAAUGGGCCGAGAUUUGCCAAGUGGCCUUGGUAUACCACCGGUAGACCACCUGUCAAGUUUCGUUCCAUUUGGAGGUCGUUUGAUGCUCCAACGGUUAACCGGGUAACCGCAAAGUCCUUUUGUGUGUUGCAGCAAAACCCCCCUCCAAACAGCCCAAAACUCACCUAAGUCACUUCCAUGCUCUAGGUCGUUCGAUCACGAUCGUGUGGGCGAAAACCGCACUCCAUUUGGAGUCUCCUAGCUCCCUAUGCCUAUAUAAACACCUCCCCCUCCGAAAUUGCGGGCAAAACCACCCCUAACCCUAGAUCAAAUCGCCCCCGCCGACACCGGACAAGUCCACCGCCGCCGGACGAAAGCCGCCGCCGCCCCGGGCCUAUCGGGAGCCGCCACGUGGCAGCCGGCGCCGCCGCCACCCGCAGCNNNNNNNNNNNNNNNNNNNNNNNNNNNNNNNNNNNNNNNNNNNNNNNNNNNNNNNNNNNNNNNNNNNNNNNNNNNNNNNNNNNNNNNNNNNNNNNNNNNNNNNNNNNNNNNNNNNNNNNNNNNNNNNNNNNNNNNNNNNNNNNNNNNNNNNNNNNNNNNNNNNNNNNNNNNNNNNNNNNNNNNNNNNNNNNNNNNNNNNNNNNNNNNNNNNNNNNNNNNNNNNNNNNNNNNNNNNNNNNNNNNNNNNNNNNNNNNNNNNNNNNNNNNNNNNNNNNNNNNNNNNNNNNNNNNNNNNNNNNNNNNNNNNNNNNNNNNNNGGCGAGCUCCGCCGCCCGUGCCCCGACGCGCCUCCUCUCCGGCCGCGUCUCCCUCUUCUCCUCCGGCCGCCGCGUCCCCUUCACCGCCGGCGAGCUCGAGCCCGCGCCGAUCCAGAUCCAUGCCGGAGGUUGACUUCUCCCCCCCCCGAAAUUCUUCUAAGUCCCAUAUUUUUCACUUUAUAUGCUCCUGUUCAUCGCAUCAUAACUCUCUACAUACUGCUCCGUUUCGUGCGUGUAAUAUAUCGAAAUGUUCGUCUCGAGAUGAUAUUCAUUUUGUUCCAUUAUGCCAUGUUCAUUUGAGUCCAUCUUGAUGCCCAAAUGUCUGGUGCAAGAGUGCUAAUUGCUGUUACCGGCUGUUACUUAUCAGAACUUGAGGAUUUGUUAUUUUUUGUUGCAUUUAAUGUGUGCAUCUUAUGGGCAUGAGCUCUACAUGUGUUUUGAUGUAUGCCAUGCCAUCUUUACAGAGGUGUAUACUAAGUCUGUGGUGACUAGCACAAGCAUGCAAACUAGGCUUCGCGAUGUUUCUGAUUUCAGGGACUUGGUAAUACUAAGUCUGCUACUGCUGUUAUUUGGUUGCCAUGUAUCCAUGUGUCUACAGUGAGAUCCAUGCUCCUUUUGGUGAUGUUCAGUAAGGAUGUUUUGUAGAUAUAGUUGUGCUAUAUCCAUCCAUGCCCUUGUUUGCAAUUAUGGAGUGAGAUAGCAUGUCUUAAUCUUGCUCUACUUUUGCUAUAAAAUAUUUCUGGCAGAUUGUUUACGUGUUAUUCAACUUUGCCAUGCUUGUUGUAGUUGAUCCAUACAUGCUAUGUAUUUAAUUUUGCCAUGGAUAGCUUCAUAAACAUGUCAUCUUAUUGUAGGUAUGCUUAUUUUGUCAUGCAUUGCUUUGUGGUGAGUGAAUCAAGCUCACAAAGAUGCCUUCAUAUUACUGUUACUGCCAUGCUCUGUUUACAUGGUUGCCAUCAUAUCUUCUGAUCGUUUUUGGCUUAUGGUCAUUAAGGGACUUUUGUUAUAUGCAUUUAGUAGAUUAAUUCCGUGCCUUGUUUUGCUAUGUUAAGUUCCUGUAGCAUGUGUUUUUCUUGCUCUGAACAUUGCUACCUGAUGCUGUUUAUGCCAUGUCCAGUAAUUUCACUAAGUCUGUGAACCUGUUAUCUUUUGCACUUUUGCCAUCCUUGUUUGAACCUGUUAUGGUGUGAUCUAGCCGUAGCUCAGUGUUCAUCUUUUGUCAAGCAUCUCCUGUAGAUUACUGCCAUAUGCUUUGUUGCUAUGUUGGAGUGCUGUAGAAUAGUUUCUUGAUGUAUUCUAAGUGCUAUCAUGCUGUUAAUCGCAGAAUCGUGUCAUUCUUAUUUUGCUUGCCAUUUGCAAACCGUGCAUCCGUUUCCGGUGAUGUUUAUAUCGAUUUCGACCGAAAUCAUCUCAUCUUUCCAGUGGCAUGCUUGGUUUGCCAAGUUACUGCCUUGUUCAUUCAUUUUCUUCCGGAGCGCGCAUAUGCAUCGCAUAUCAUAUCUCGCAUAUCAUUCAUGUUUUGCAUCAUGUUGCUUGUGCAUUUCCCGUGAUUGAUUGUGGUUCCGUUGCUUGUGUUCUUGUUUUGGGUAGAGCCGGGAGACGAGUUCGUGAACGAGGAACCUGUUGAGUACGCUUACGAGGAUCAAGCUUUCGACAACUCUGAGAACCUUUCAGGCAAGAUGACCAUACCCUCGAAAUCACUUCUAUCUUUGCUUUGCUAGUUACUCGUUCUAUUGCCAUGCUGCGCUACCUACCAUUUGCUAUAUCAUGCCUCCCAUAUUUGCCAUGUCAAGCCUCUAACCAUCCUUUCCUAGCAAACCGUUGUUUGGCUAAGUUACCGCUUUUGCUCAGCCCUUCUUAUAGCGUUGCUAGUUGCAGGUUAAGUUGAAGUUCGUUCCAUGUUGGAACAUGGAUAUUUUGGAAUAUCACAAUAUCUCUUAUUUAAUUAAUGCAUCUAUAUAUUUGGUAAAGGGUGGAAGGCUCGGCCUUAUGCCUGGUGUUUUGUUCCACUCUUGCCGCCCUAGUUUCCGUCAUACCGGUGUUAUGUUCCUUGAGUUUGCGUUCCUUACGCGGUUGGGUGAUUUAUGGGACCCCCUUGACAGUUCGCCUUGAAUAAAACUCCUCCAGCAAGGCCCAACCUUGGUUUUACCAUUUGACCACCUACCACCUACACUUUCCUUGGGUUUUCGCGAGCCCGAGGGUCAUCUUUAUUUUAGACCCCCACGGGCCAGUGCUCCUUCGAGUGUUGGUUUGAACCGAGCUGCCUGCGGGGCCACCUUGGGGAAACUUGAGGACUGGUUUUACUCGUAGCUAGUCUCAUCCGGUGUUGCCCUGAGAACGAGAUAUGUGCAGCUCCUAUCGGGAUUUGUCGGCACAUCGGGCGGCUUUGCUGGUCUUGUUUUACCAUUGUCGAAAUGUCUUGUAAACUGGGAUUCCGAGACUGAUCGGGUCUUUCCGGGAGAAGGUUUAUCCUUCGUUGACCGUGAGAGCUUAUAAUGGGCUAAGUUGGGAUACCCCUGCAGGGUAUUAUCUUUCGAAAGCCGUGCCCGCGGUUAUGAGGUAGAUGGGAAUUUGUUAAUGUCCGGUUGUAGAGAACUUGCCACUUGACCCAAUUAAAAUACAUCAACCGUGUGUGUAGCCGUGAUGGUCUCUUCUCGGCGGAGUCCGGGAAGUGAACACGGUUUGAGUUAUGCAUGAACGUAAGUAGUUUCAGGAUCACUUCUUGAUCAUUUCUAGCUUCGCGACCGUUGCGUUGCUUCUCUUCUCGCUCUCAUUUGCGUAUGUUAGCCACCAUAUAUGCUUAGCGCCUGCUGCAGCUCCACCUCUUUACACCAUCCUUUCCUAUAAGCUUAAGUAGUCUUGAUCUCGCGGGUGUGAGAUUGCUGAGUCCUCGUGACUCACAGAUUCUACCAAAACAUUUGCAGGUGCCGACGAUGCCAGUGCAGGUGACGCAACCAAGCUCAAGUGGGAGUUCGACGAGGAACGUGCACUACUAGGAAAAGGGCUAUAGAUGGAAUGGCCACUAAUGGCGCACCAGAAAUGUGGUGCGCCAUUGCUAUAUAGCAAUGGCGCACCAUGUGCUGGUGCGCCAUUAGUGUGAAAGACACUAAUGGCGCACCAAACAAACGGUGCGCCAUUAGUAACAAUUUUUUUUUAUUUUGCCAGACAUACUAAUGGCGCACCAGGACAUAGUGCGCCAUUACUAGUUGUAACUAGUAAUGGCGCACCAGCAACAUAGUGCGCCACUAAAAUAUUUUUUUUAUUUUUUACUUUUUUACAAAACUACUAAUGGCGCACCUGGUGCAGUGCGCCAUUACUAGUUUAAGCUAGUAAUGGCGCACUGCUCCCCGUGCGCCAUUAGUGUAUAUUUCAUGGACACUUGAUCUCGAUCCCCCUCCAUCUCGCGAUCGCUAUCCCACCUCGCCAGAUCCGGUCCCCCUUGCCGCCGAGCACCCCCUGCACCCUCUACCCCGCUCCACCGGGCGCCGCCGCCGACCCCCCGCACCCUCCCCCGCUCCACCGCCGCCGACGACCCNNNNNNNNNNNNNNNNNNNNNNNNNNNNNNNNNNNNNNNNNNNNNNNNNNNNNNNNNNNNNNNNNNNNNNNNNNNNNNNNNNNNNNNNNNNNNNNNNNNNNNNNNNNNNNNNNNNNNNNNNNNNNNNNNNNNNNNNNNNNNNNNNNNNNNNNNNNNNNNNNNNNNNNNNNNNCGCACCCUCCCCGGCCCGCUCCACCGCCGCCGACGACCCCCUGCACCCUCUCCGGCCUGCUCCACCGUCACAAAUGAAUGCUAUAGCUAAUUCCUCCCUCUCCCUCGCCAGUUCCCCUUCGUCCCUCUCCCCCGCGCCAGUUCCUCUCCGUCCGCUCCCAAUCCGCGCCCCCGCCGCCUCCCUCUCCCCAUCCUCCCCUCCGACCCCACCCCACUCUCGCCGGAGCAGCGCCGCAGGGCCGACACCAACCUCGCCCUCGCCCGCGCGCGCCGCAACCUCCGCCUCGCAUUCAACAGCUACACAUUCUACACCGAGGACAAGGACAUGAAGAGCGAUGGUUAUCAGAACUCCGGGGUAACGAUGGAAUCCUACACCGGUAACGACAAGGACAGAGCACCCCCCGCAACCCCCGACGACCCACCGCACCCUCCCCGCUCCACCGCCGCCGAGCACCCCCCGCACCCUGUUUUUAUAAAAAUUAUUACUGUUUUUAUAAAAAAAAUAUUACUGUUAUGAUUUAAACAAGUUUCAACAUAUUUAAACACAAAUAAAUAUCAAACAGCAUUUUAAAUGCAUUUUUUAUAAAAAUUAUUAUUGUUUUUAUAAAAAAAUAUUACUGUUAUGAUUUAAACAAGUUUGAACAUAUUUAAACACAAAUAAAUAUCAAACAGCAUUUUAAAUGCAUAAAAAAAAUUGGGGAGCCUGGGAAUCGAACCCAGGACCUCCUAGUGUGUGUGUUGCGUGCUGACCAGUCGGGCUAGUGGGCGUGUUCUAAUGGAGAUAGGGUUAGGUGGGAUAUAACCUGACCAGUCGGGCUAGUAAGUAAAACAAAAUUCUAAUGGCGCACCAGGGGGAGGUGCGCCAUUAGAAUCGACGUACUUAUGGCGCACCAGGGGGAGGUGCGCCAUUAGAAUUUUUAUACUUGUUCCCCUCGCACUGUCGCCUCCCUCCCUCCCUCUCGCUCGCCAGAUCCCCCACUCCUCGACCCCAACCGUACGCCGCCGCCCCCUUGCUCCGCCCCCUCCGUCCGCCGCGCCUGCACGCCGGCGAGCGCGGCCCCGACGCGCCCAUCCCGCCUGCCCCUGCCGUGCUCCGCCACCGGCCCCUGCUCUCCUUCGACCGCGGCGAGCGAGGACCCGGAAGAGCUCGGAUCCCGACCCCUUCGCCGACCCCGACCCCGACCCCUCCGGCGACCAGGUAUCUCUCCUCCUUCCUCCUUCCUCCGUCUCUCCACCAUUCCCCAUUCCCUCCCACCUGUCCAGCGCCGACUCCAUCACCAUGGACUGACUCCCUCGUAGUCGAGAUCCGCCCCGUCGACGUCUAGCAGCCCAGCUCGACCUCCAGCCACUCCAGCUCCCUGGUGCGCCAAAAAGGUGGCAGCUCGUAGGUAAUAACACAGAAGCUCAAGGUGACCAGGGCUCAAGGUACUAACACAGAAGCUGACAAUGGCCCAUGCUCUAGUUCUGUCCAUUCUCUACCACUUCGAGGGUAACUUUGAAUUUCAGAAAUUUCUGAAGAAACAAAAUAUGAACUGUAUGAUACAAUAUAGAGCAGACUUGGUGAGUCAAGUUUUAGCUCCUUUCUCCGAACUUCAUCUCGUAGCUGACAGUAAUCCAAGGCCUGAAAUGUCGAAUAAUAUUUUUCAGAUAAGUUAAGAAGAUCAUAGGGCCUCUGUAUUUGAGAAAUGCACACACCCAUAUUGUGAAGACAUAUCAAACUAAAAAACAAUUGCGAGCACUUUAAAAGAGGGUCCUCUGUUUCUGUUAUUUUCUAAUUCACUAUGACCACUUUGCACACACGCAGAUGUAAUCAACAUAACAACAUCUGUAUUCAUCAACCUCUGAUAUGGAUAUCAUACUCGUGUAUUCAGUGAUGGCCUAGUGUACACAAAAGUCAGUCACACACCAAACAUUGGGAAUGCAUAGCCUGUUGGAGUAUUCCUUCUUGAGCCAGGCUCGUAGCCUCGUACAUUGCUUUCAGUAUGGGUGUAGAAUCUCUAGCAGAUAGUUCACUAGUAUAACAACAAUGGUCAUUGUUUAGUAUUUGGCACUUCUGUUUAGGUUAAAACAAUGUUAUUUUUUGUUCUUUUGCAAAGAUUAGAGUGCAGCAGCCCUGUAGAUUGUGAUUAAUUACUAUAUGAUUCAGUUCUAAAUAAUUUGUUUUAUGAUCCCAGUGCAAAGGAAUUCAUAUUUUAGUUUACAUCUGUCUAUGUAGUGUGUUGUGAAGGCCAAGUUUGAGAAGUGGUGGUGUCGCAGAGCAAUCCUCUCCCUUGACAGGUACAAUGUCCACUCUUCCACAUGUCUUAGUUUUUUUAAUGCAAUUGCUUCAUUGCCAUAUUACAUCAUUAACUGUUAUAUAUUCCAAAUCGUGCAAAACUUCAAUAGGGCAAACCUUAUGUGAUGAUACAGGUUGUUAGUUGCUACUAGAAAGUGUUGAGAGAUAUUAAAGCGGUGUAACAAUUGCUGUCGGGUUUAGCAACUGAUAUCUUCUUCAUCUCCUUUUGCACUGCUUACAUGUAAGGUAUUGUAGUUUAGGUGCUUCUUUCACCAGCUGCAAAACAAUGCAGCUGGUGCUUGAUGCAUGUGUUAAUGCAUGCAUAAUGCUAGUAAGCUCCUGUUAUGGGUCUCAAGCAUGAAUGUACCCCAAGAUUUCUAUUGGAACUGGACAUGUGUUAAUGUAAUUAGGUGCUUCUUUCACCAGCUGCAAAACAAUGCAAUUUCAUACGUUUUCACCAGCUGCAAAACAUCAUAAAAAUACCAUUAGGUACUUCCGUAAACACAAAAAUAGAAACAAUGCAAGACAUGGCUUGUCUCUGAUCCUCUGUUUUCUUUUUUCAUUGGUUGCAUUUUGAUCCUAAAUGUCAAUCAAUAAGUCUAUUAUUAGGAAUCAGCAAAGUUGAUUAUCUAUUCUACAUAAUUUCUAAUCUGAUGUUUGCAUUUCCUAACUAUAGCAGUUUUUUCUCAGACCAAGGCAAAUGAAAUCGACUAAAGAAAGAAAUAGCAUUUACCAAUUACCACUAACCAUGGCACUAAUGUUUCACCUUAGAUCAUAUGUUUGUUCUCUGAUACACAUGUGGGAAACGUUCUAAACAACAACCUAUUAAUGGUAGUUGUUCUUUGUAUUGUGGAAUACAUCACAUGUUUUAUAAAUGGGGUCAGAUGUAUAAUUAGUCGAUGUAUAAUCCUGGUACUAAUUGGUCUCUUCUGCUGCUUAUCAGAGAUGGGGGGAAGCAGCCACCACCGCUCUGCCUCACCGGAGUACGAGUUGGAUGCUUUCGAGUUCUUCAGUAUCAUACUUGGGACUUCAGUAUCAGCCACGAGGCAGGUAUAUAAAACGAGAGAUCUCCCCUUCACCCAUCUCAUUAUGAUAACUCUGUUGUUUGCUACAUCACUCCUUGUCCCAAAUUGCAGAGGCUGCCUGACACUUUUAUGAACAUGCUGGGUGAAGAUCCGCCACAUAAUGUGAAGCUCCGACAGGCCGGCAGCGGGGUUCGCAGGCUGUGGGACGUGGAGUUGGUGAUCGAGGAGGGCCACAUGUACCUGUGCCGUGGCUGGGAGAAGUUCUACAGUGCCUACGACCUACGGACCGGGUACUUUCUUCUCUUCAGGUACGACGAUGACGCCACAAUGCUCAUCGUGAAGGUUUUCAACACGACUAUGUGUCGCAUGCGCUACACUGACGACGAAGAUGCCAGUGCGUUCUGCCUCUUCUUAUUCCUCUACAUUUGGCUUUGUCUCACAUCGAUUGUUAACGGCCAUUGUUGCAUUUGGACAGGCAAUGGGAGCAGCAGCAGCGACACUGGCUACAGCCAAAGCAGCAGCGAUUAUGGUUGUAGCAAAAGCAGCAGCGAUUCUGGCAGCAGCAAAGACAGCAAGAAGGAUGAUCCGGACUGGAGUGGGGGAGAAGAGGAGCAGAGUGGGCCGCUGCAGGAUGACGAUGGGCAUCAGGCUGAGGAUGACCUAGCGCUGGUGGUGGCUGACCAAGGGCAAGAGAUGGUGGUGGCUGACCAUGGGCAAGAGAUGGUGGUGGCUGACCAUGGGCAAGAGAUGGUGCUGGCUGACCAUGGGCAAGAGAUGGUGCUGGCUGACCAUGGGCAAGAGAUGGUGGUGGCUGAGGAUGACCUAGCGAUGGUCGUGCCCGUCCUGCCUGAAGGUGGCCUCACGAUGGUGGUGGUGCCUGACAAUGACCACGCACCGGUGGUGGCGCCGGCGAUCCCACAGCUGGGCGACAUGACCACGCCAAUUGUGGUAGAAGACUACAUCCCACAGCUGCCUCCACCGCCUCGCCGCUCUUGGCGCAUCAGGCUGAGGAAGGAGAAGGAGAAGAACAAUGAGAACUGAACUAUGUGAAACUUUUGUAAUAUGGUGUUGGAUCGAUAACGAUGUUGGAUGAACAAUGUGAAACUUUUGUAAUAUGUAACGAUGGAACUAUGUGUUGGCUAUGUAUGUAUAUAUGAUGAAACUUGUGUGUUGGAUAUGAUUGUUAUAUGGAUGCUUGUUGUAUAUAUAUGUGUUGGAUAUCUCAUAUGUGAAAUAGUGACCUGAGAUUAAGAAAAAAACGAUUUUUUUUUAAAAAAAUGCUACUAAUGGCGCACUUCCAUCUGGUGCGCCAUUAGUAUACCAGUUACUAAUGGCGCACCUGUGGGAUACUAAUGGCGCACCUGUGGUGCGCCAUUACUAAAAUAUUCUAGUGGCGUGGUGCUAGUGGCGCACCAGUAGUGCGCCAUUAGUAGGCAAAACUGGUGCGCCACUAGUAAGCCUUUUUCUAGUAGUGGUGGUCGUUACUAUGUUUCUUUUCCUGAUGAUCAGUAGUGGAGCCCAGUUGGGACGAUCGGGGAUCUAGAAUUUGGGGUUAUCUUAUUUUCAUUUGGAUUUGACCGUAGUCGGUCUAUGUGUGGAUUUUGGAUGAUGUAUGAAUUAAUUUAUGUAUUGUGUGAAGUGGCGAUUGUAAGCCAACUCUCGUUAUCCCAUUCUUGUUCAUUACAUGGGAUUGUGUAAAGAUGACCCUUCUUGCGACAAAACCACAAUGCGGUUAUGCCUCUAAGUCGUGCCUCGACACGUGGGAGAUAUAGCCGCAUCGUGGGCGUUACAGGCACCUCCGCGAUCUGCACACGUUCGGUUCGGUGAUGUCCCAUGAACUCACGAUCCAGUAGAGUGUCGGGGAAGAGCUUCGUCAGCACGACGGCGUGAUGACGGUGAUGAUGAAGCUACCGCUGCAGAGCUUCGCCUAAGCACUACGACGAUAUCACCGAGGUGGAUUAUGGUGGAGGGGGCACCGCACAUGGCUAAGAGAUCAAGGAUCAACUUGUGUGUCUAUGGGGUGCCCCCCUCCCCCGUAUAUAAAGGAGUGGAGGAGGGGGAGGGCCGGCCCUCCUAUGGCGCGCCCCAUGGGGAGUCCUACUCCCACCGGGAGUAGGAUUCCCCCCUUCCCUAGUUGGACUAGGAGUGGAAGGAAGGGGGAGGAAGGAGGAAGGAAAGGGGGGCCGACCCCCCUCCCAAUUCGGAUUGGGCUUGGGGGGCGCGCCCCCUCCUUUGCUCCCUUCUCCUCUCUCCCACUAUGGCCCAAUAAGGCCCAUAUACCUCCCGUGGGGUUCAUUAGUUUCGUAUGAACUUCUGGGUUUUUUGAAAUGGUUGAAUCCUAGUUUUUAAUUAACACAAAAGCACUUCGUUAGUUUCGUAUGAACUUCUGGGUUUUUUGAAAAACGAGGAAAUUCUAUUUUAAACUUUUUUUAGUUGUUCCUUUAUUUUUAUUUUGAACUUCUUUGUUUUAUUCCUUAGUAACAAGAAAAAGUCUGAGUUUUUUAUGAACUUUGAACUUCUCUAUUAUUUAAUUUGAACUUCUUCGUUUUAUACAUAGAAAAUAUCAUUGUUUAAAAAAUAUCAUUGGGCAUACAUUUAUUUUACCUACAGACGGGAAGUGUUUGAGUUAUUUUGUAUUAAUUGAACUACUCUACUUUUUUAAUUUGAACUUCUUGAUUUUAUUUAUUAGUAACGUGUAAAUUAUGAGUUUGUUAUAAACAUCGAAAUGCUCCAUUUUUUAGAUUGGAAUUUCUUGGUUUUAUGUUUUAGUUAUUAAAAUAGUCCUAGUUUUGUAAGAAACAUCGAACAGUUCUGUAAUUUAAUUUUUAGUGUCUAGUUUUCUUUUUAUAAAUCUUUUUUUUCUAUUUAAAUUCCUGAAUUUAUCUGCUUUUACAUUUUGAACUUCCUGGUCGUCCUUUUUAGAAAUAGGAAAAAAAUCAUUUUUAUUGGUAUUUUCGUGUUUUUAUGUUUUGUUCAGGUUACCAUUCUCUCAGUUCAAAAACUAUAUGAUUUGCCUCGAUAACAGUAAGUGAACUUCGUGGACAUUAUUUAUAAAACACACUCUUUUUCUAGUAUGUGAAUUUUCCUAUAGAUGUACAAGAACCUUUUGUUUGUUUGCACCUCAACAACCAACAUGGAACAGUACGAUUGGAAAAUCAUAGAAAGCUAUACCAGAUGAAUCAUGGAAAAUAUUGACCAAAUCACACAACAAAAUGGCCAGGUCGAGGGCAGUUCUUUCACAGGCAUUUGAAGGAAACAAGUAGGGUAUGGAAGAAACAAAAUCUGAAGCGAGGUUGAGAUCCCUCCUCGAUGCACAAUUCACAACUCCUGUGCAGGGGAUCCAUUUUUGCCAGCGACUUGAGCAAAUCAUUGUAUCUUAAUUCUACAGUCGAAGAGCCAGACUCAGCAUGCCUUCUUCUGCAAAACGAAAAUCUGAG
rnacentral:lncRNA from 1 species